GCACGUGUUUGAGGAGAUGCAGAGGCCUGGUACCCCGCUCUACAACAUCAAGGCUUACCUCCCUGUCAUCGAGUCCUUUGGGUUCUCCAGCCAACUGAGGGCUGCAACCUCUGGCCAGGCGUUCCCUCAGUGUGUGUUUGACCACUGGGACAUGAUGGGCUCUGAUCCUCUGGAGGCCGGCUCCCAGGCUGCUCAGCUGGUGUUGGAUAUCCGCAAGAGGAAGGGUCUCAAGGAGCAGAUGACCCCUCUUUCUGAGUUUGAGGACAAGCUCUAAAUUUUGGUGGUUUGUGCUGCUGUUACCCAUGCUGGUUUCAUGGCCAAUUCGUCUACUGUAACUGGAACUACUUUCAUGUUUCAUUUCCUUUAGUUGUCAGAUGCAUCUGUUUUUGAACAUCAUUGGCCAUAUGGCAUUGUGCUGCUAAGACUGUAUUUUGUUAUCCGGUUGUGAUGUAACAGAUGAAAUAGAGUUCAUAUCUGUGGUUUAAGUGGUAGUAUUUGCGGUAUAAUGCUUGUUUCUACUGCCUUCUGAAAGCCUUUCUUUUGCCUAACGGUAGAGCGGAUUAACUAAGGGUGUUGUAUCAUUUGAUUCAUUUGAUCCUUCAUCAAGGAUGAAGCCAUCUCCUCAUGGGAACACAUUAUUCUACUAUUAGAAGCGAAGAUGUAACAAAUUAGUUGAAAGAGGAGCGUUGAAAGAGGAGCGAACCAUACUUUACUAUAUGGUAAGUAGCAAAUUAGUUACAAGUAGCAAAUUAGUUGAACUUUAGGAUCAUGCACGUUGAACCUUGUUAUCUAGGAUCAUCCAUGGAUCAUGCACGUUGAACCUUGCUAACUAGGAUCAUGCACGUUGACCCUUGUUAUCUAGGAUCAUCCAUGGAUCAUACACGUUGAACUUUGCUAUCUAGGAUUAUCCAUGUAUGCAUCAUGUAGUGCAUCUGUGCAUGCAAUAUUCUGUUAUCUAGGAUCAUCCAUGGAUCAUACACGUUGAACUUUGCUAUCUAGGAUUAUCCAUGUAUACAUCAUGUAGUGCAUCUGUGCAUGCAAUAUUCUGCCCUUAGCUUGGUUUUACUGCCGAUAGCUAUAUAGUGCAUUUAAAUGCUUUUCUUUUGCCCACAGCCCCAGAGGUAGAGAGGACUAACUGUUUCUGUUGCUUUUUUUUUUUACGGUCUACGGGAGAGAGUGUGUGUGUGUGUUGGGGGUGGGAGCGCCCCCACCUGAUUUUCAUUUCAUUGAGGGUCUGUUUCAGGCCAAACGCUGUGUAGAUCAAAAGGAGAUAGAGAGAGGCAGUGUACAUCUGGUUUUGUGAUUGUUUUACAUCGAAGCAAAGACAGUGCACCAGGAGUCGGUUAUCACGCGAUCCUCUAUGCGAAACCGCUCGCGCCAAAGUCGGGCUUCGUCUCGGCAUGCCGACCAGAAGCGUUGUUGAGAUGGAGCGCAGCGCUGGAACACUGGGUCAUUCCGGUGCUUCCAUAACACCCACGGCAGAAGGAGUUUUUUCUUGCUUUGCCUUUAGCUUGGCUUUAAUCCUGUUAGCUAUGCCUAUGUAGAGCAUUUGGUCCUUCGAAUUUUAAAUCGAUGUUGAUUUUGAUUGCAUGCCGUCAUUUUGGGUUGGUUCCAACUAUGUUUUUAAUAUCAGUCGUUCUGAAGGUUACUCUGUUGACACUUGAUUGCAUAACCGUUUGCUAGUUUUGCGUGCAUCCGCGUGCUGGUUCGUCUCAUCAAGAACUAGCCGUUGCUCAAAACUCUGGCUUUCAGGCAUGGCCGCAACAGCCUGGAGGAUGUGUUGCUGUUCUGUAGCUGUAGUGUGCGUCUGUGCUAGUGGAUGCAGGGAGCCAGCGACCUAAAAGGAAUCGUGUAUUAGUGGAUGCAGGACAUCGGCCGUGGCGGCCUGGGGGAGACGACCACGCUCGACAUGAACGGCAGUAAGUUCAAUGGCACGAUCCCGGCGUCGCUUACCGGCCUAUGGAGCCUCCAGUAUCUAGAUGUGAGCGGCAACCGCUUCACCGGCACCAUCCCAGCGUUGCUAUCUGGACUCCGGAACCUCCAGCUUCUCGGCCUGAAUGACAACCUCUUCACCGGCACCAUCCCGGCGGACCUCGGCGAGCUGGCGAGCCUUCACAUGCUGUAUCUGGCAAACAACCAGUUCGAUGCAGGCCAGCUGCCGUCGUCGUUCAAGAACCUGACCAACCUGGUCAGCCUCUGGGCGUCGCAGUGCAACCUCGUCGGAGAGUUCCCGAACUUUCUUUGGAGCCUGAAGGAGCUGCAACUAUUGAAUCUGUACACGAACAACCUCACCGGCAACUUGGUGGUUGAUGGCCUUGUUGCGAGGAACUUGACAGUAAUCGACGUCUCGGAGAACAAGAUCACUGGAGUUAUCCCGAGUGUUUGGGAGCUUGGAGAACCUCAGAGACUUGAACUUCUUCAUGAACAACUUCUCCAGCGAGAUACCAGCCAGCAUCGGCCGGUUGCCCUCACUGACGAGGUUGAGGCUCCACACCAACAUGCUUAACGGCACGCUCCCACCGGAGCUCGGAAAGCAAUCGCCGGGCUUGAAUUAUGUUGAGGUUGAUUACAAUGAGCUCACCGCCGAGAUCCCGGAAGGGCUGUGCACUGGAGACAACCUCCAGCACCUCACCGCCAAGAGCAACCAAUUGAACGGCUCCAUCCCAGCAGGCCUUGCCAACUGCGCCACUCUUGGAACCCUGUCGCUGGACAACAACCAACUCUCUGGCGACGUACCAGAGGCUCUGUGGACGGCGACGAAGCUUUACCAGAGGCUCUUCCGGCCACGGUGCAUCUCAACCUUUCGACGAUACUCAUAGGGAACAACCAAUUUGGUGGCAACAUUCCGGCUGCACUAGCUGCGCUCCAGGUGUUCACCGCCGAGAACAACCGGUUUUCUGGUGCGAUACCGGCGAGUCUUGGCGACGGCAUGCCGCUGCUGCAAAGACUGAACUUAUCCGGUAACCAACUGUCCGACGGGAUCCCCAGAAGCGUUGCUAAGCUAAGCCAGCUGACGGAAAUGGACCUGAGCAGGAAUCAGCUCACCGGAGGCAUACCGGUAGAGCUCGGCGCCAUGCCGGUGUUAAGUGUCCUUAACCUGUCGUCGAACAAGCUCUCCGGCAACGUGCCGCAGGCGCUUGCGAAGCCGACACUCACCGCCCUAACCUGUCCUCGAACCAUCAGACCGGCCAGGUCCCGGCCGGGUUCGCCACCGCGGUCUACGACACCAGCUUCCUCAACAACCCCGGCCUCUGCACCGCCGCUUGGGGACCUGGCUACCUCACGGGCGUACGCUCCUGCGCCGGUGGAUCACAAGACGGCGGUUCCUCCGGAGGCGUGUCGCACGCCCUGCGCAGGGGAACCUCGCCGUGGCGUUCGCCUUCUUCGUCGUCCGCGACAUCAAGAAACGGCGGCGCGUCGCGGAGCAAGACAACUGGAAGAUCACGCCUUUCGUCAAAGAUCUGGGAUUCGGUGAGGCACCCAUACUCCGGGGGCUGACGGAGGAGAACCUCGUCGGGCGCGGGGGAUCGGGGCGCGUGUACCGCGUCGCCUACACCAACCGGCUUAACGGCCGAGCCGGCGCGGUGGCCGUAAAGCAAAUACGGACCGCCGGGAAGCUCGACCAGAAGCUGGAACGCGAAUUCGCGUCAGAGGCUGGCAUCAUCGGCAACCUCCGGCACAACAACAUCGUCAAGCUCUUGUGUUGCCGCUCCAGCGCCGAGUCCAAGCUCCUCGUGUACGACUAUGGACAACGGCAUCCUGGACAGGUGGCUCCACGGCGACGCCCUCGUCGCCGGCGGGCGCCCCAUGGCGAGGGCGCGGUCCGCGCGGCGCGAGCCGCUGGACUGGCCGGCGAGGCUCAGGGUGGCCGUCGACGCCGCGCAGGGGCUGUGCUACAUGCACCACGAGUACGAGCCGCCCAUCGUCCACCGCGACGUCAAGACGAGCAACAUCCUGCUGGACUCGGAGUUCCGGGCCAAGAUCGCCGACUUCGGGCUGGCCACAGGAUGCUGCUGCAGGCCGGGGCGCCGGAAACGAUGUCCGCCGUCGCUGGCUCGUUCGGCUACAUGGCUCCUGGUAAGGAUUCGAACUUGCUGCUUUCAGUGAAUUUCUGUCCCAUUUCUACAAAUGCCACGUGUUCUCGUGUUGCCGGACCUUAGAUUGGGCCUUUUGAUGCUUAUCUGCAGAGUGUGCUUACACCAAGAAGGUGAACGAGAAGGUAGACAGCUUCGGUGUCAUUCUCCUGGAGCUCACCACCGGAAAGGAGGCCAACAACGGCGGCGAGCACGGCUGCCUGGCGGACUGGGCACGGCGCCACUACCAAUCAGGAGGGAGCAUCGCCGACGCCACAGACAAGAGCAUCAGAUACGACGGGUACUCUGACGAGAUCCAGGUUGUCUUCAGGCUCGGCGUGCUCUGCACCGCCGAUAUGCCGUCGUCGCGGCCAACCAUGAACGACGUGCUGCAGAUCUUGGUCAAGUGCAGCGAGCAGACGUACCACAAGGGCAAGACGGAGCGUGGCCCAGAGUAUGAGGUGGCUCUUCUACCCAAACGCGGCAGUCGCCGGAAACAGCUUUCAAACGGCUCGGGGAUUUACAUCGAAGAGAAGAUGACAGCAUUGUCUGAAGAAAGGAACUGACCACUGCAUAUGCCAGUAAGCAGCUUGUGACAUCGUCAGUGAACUGCUUGCUAUAGUGAUACUUCACAUUUUAGCAGAGUACAGCGGAGAAUUAUGCCUCUAAUCUUUUUUUUUCUGAGGAGCUAAGUAUCUUUAUAUUAAAAAGAGAAUAUAAAUAGAAAAAAUCAGUCCAUUGGAAGCAACCACUCUAGCUCACCUAGGAGAAUAGAGAGAUUGCAUAAACAAGCGAAGAAAAAACCGUCACCAGACCUUGACCCUGCACGGCUGGACUAGGGACAUGCAUAGUAUAGAGCAGGGCUUGUGGUUAGCCAAACCGUUCUGUGUAUUGAUACUGCAAAUCUGUAUUAAAUCACACACACAUUAUACGUUCCGACAGAAGAACUAGCAAACAUUACGAUUAUACUCCCUCCGUUCUUAAAUAUAUAACGCUAUUGACUUUUUCAUUUGUUUGACUAUUCAUCUUUUCUACAAAUAUUUUUGCAAAUAGAUAAAUCUACGAGUUAAAUCUAAAGUACAUUUCACAAUAGUCAUAAUGAUACACAUUUUACUUUAGUUAACUAACUCAUUCAAUAGAUAUUGAUGGUCAAAGUUGGAGUAAAAAGCCAACAGCAUCAUAUAUUUAAGAAUGGAGGGAGUAAUUUAUUUCUGAAAUAAAGGCAGGAGAUGGAGCUCUGCUUAUCCAUUCAGAAAUUAGUACGAUUGAAUGAUUUUGUCUCCUUCCAGUUUUUAUUGUAAAACACAGAAUAUUACACGGAUAGGCACUGAUUGUUAUCCGGAAGAAAAUGAAUUUUUAUAUUUCAAAAGAAAAGGCCCAAUUUGCACCCUCUAGCUAGCACGAUAAUCCAAUUUUCAGCUAAACUGACCAUGGGCCGGCCCAAAGGCACAGGAAUUUGGCCCGGUCUAGGCAUGGCGGCCGUCGUGCUCGUGCUAACCCGACCCACACCAUGGGCCGUGCUUGGGCCGUUGCCUCAGCCCACGUACUGGUCCGGCACGGCCUGCCCAUUUGGCCCGUCGGGAUUAAGUGGGCGGCCCAUCCUAUUAAGGCCCACUCGACCGCAUAUAAAACCCCCCACCCCCAAACGGCCAAACCCUACCUUCCUCUUCGUGUCCCGCGCCCUUCGCCGCCGUCACCUCCCCCGCGCCCUUCGCCGCCUCUCGCGCCCGCCGGCCGCUCACGCCCUCCGCCGCUUCCCCCCGCCGCCUCCCUCACGCCCUCCGCCGCAUCCUCCCACCGCCUCCCUCGUGCCCUCCGCCACCUCCCGCGCCCGCCGGCCUCUCGCUCCCCUGCCACCUCCCCCGCGGCCCUCUGCCGCCUCCUACACCCGCCGGUCCCUUGCCGCAAUUGGGGAAGAUGGUGGCCUGCACGGCGGCGCGCGCAAACGUCCUGUCGUCCCUCGGCGGUGGGAGCUGCGGCACGAGUGGGCGCCUGGGCAGAUCCGGGAAAGGUCUAUGGGCGCCCUGACGACGAGGUGGUCGAAGUCAUCGGGGCUAUCGAACUCGACGACGACAGGCGCUACGGGCGUAUGAGCAGAGGAAGGGUGAAUUCUGUGCCGCAGGCUGGCACGAGCACGGUGAGGCCGUUAAGGCCUGCCAGGCCAGCGUGCCAGCACGGCCCACCUAAGAAGGCUGCGGGUCAUGCCUGGACCGCUCCUUCGGCACAUGGGCCGGCACGGCCUGGCACUAUUACCGUGCAAGCCUAACCGUGCCGGGCCUAACCGUGCCAGGCCAAAUCGUGCUCGUGCCAGGCCGGGUUGGGCUACCUGUUUGGCCAUCUAUACAUCCAACGGUUGAAACCAGAUAAAUUUUAUCCUUUAGCUGGUUUCAAAGAUGUUUUUUUGUUUUAUUAGACAUUUAAAAAAAAUCUGAUUUAAUCUUGUUGGGGGGAAAUAUUAACGAUCCCCUAAAUACCACUUAAAGGAGCAGACGCGAAGGCCCGGGCCCACCUAAGCAUAAUCAAAACUCCGCCUCGCCCGACCGCGGCCUCAGGGUCAGGAACGCCCGACCCCCCUCCACGAGGUUUCCGCCUCGUCCGACUGCGGCCCCAGGGUCGAAGGCGCCCGAUCCCUCGCCACAAGGUUCCGCCUCGUCCGACCCCAAGCGCAGGGGUCGGGCUCGCUGGGGCCCCCAGGGCAGGCAUCCCCCUCGGAUGUGGACCAGGUGGGCAAGAUAAACAAAUCUUGCGGGUCCCCCCCCCCAUCGGCCUCGUCAUAAAUGCGCUGCGGGCCUGGCAGAGGGAGGAAUGACCACGCUCCUCACACAACCCGCCGCAAGUACCCAUGCACGACCAUACUGUACAAGCUACAGCGCUGGCGGCUCACUCCCAUUCGCCGCAGGGUACUCAUGGCCUGCGCCGACCGGAGCGGAGGAGAGACUCGCCUGUCCUCGAGCCCCGCGCACCCUCGGGUCCCGUGCGCCUGGCAUCUAGGAUGUGACGCCCUCUCUCCAGGAGCCAUCAUCAGAAUGGCAGCAUCCACCGUCCUCCCCAACGGACACCGGGAUAACGACGAAACGCCCUCAUCAUAACCCGACGCCUACGGAUGCCGAAGGAGCUAUCUGUAGGGUGCAACGACAGUUGGCGCACGGCCGCCUCCCCCUCCGGCAUGCACGCCGGCGCUCGCCAGGAGCCGGCGGAGGCGUCGGGCGUCUAGGAACUUGUUCCUCCCAUCCUGCCGUAUUUUUUACCGUACUACGUUCACAUUUUACGGUCCUCUUCGCCCGAUCCCAACUGUAACUCUGGCCACUCCCCUUGCGAUAUAAAAGGAGGAACACAGGGCCGGAGGGGGGGAUCGGCUUCUUCCCCCUCAAGCCACAGCAUGCUAGUACGCUCCCUGAGAACAUAGGCUCAAAGAGACUUGGGACCAGUCCCUCUCUCGUCGGUCUGUAACCCCUACUACAGAACCCCGCGUGGGCAAUACGAGCAUCCACGAUACUGGACGUAGGGCUCCCUUUGCUCGAACCAGUCUAAUCCGUGUCUCCCACGCCACCAUCUGAGGCCUUACGCGCAUAAAAGAAAUUUACUAGUCUAAGUCUUGAUCCGCCAAUCUUGACAACGACAGUUGGCGCGCUAGGUAGGGGACCUUUGCGCAUACCCUCCCAGCCUCAGAUGGCCAAUUACGAUAGUAGCUUUGCUCCGGGCUCCCUGAUCCGAUUCGGGAGCCUGGACUUCCUCGCCACCGGGGAAGGGAUCAAGCUGAUCCCUGUCCUCAUCCUGCCCGCUCGCCCGCCUGCCCCCGGCCCCGCCGCCGGGACAGCGGUGAGCGGCCGCUCGCAUACCGGAAGGACCUCGCCAGGGGGACGGCCCUUCGGGCUACGCAAUGCCACGGGGGCCUACGGACGCCUCCUAGCGCGGUCCAUGACCGCGUCGCCCGCGAGCAACGAGCUCGUAGGUGCGACAAGGACGAUCUCCGACACCGGCUCCAGCAGCGGGAGCCCCCACCCCUCGCGUGAGUGCCUCGUGGUCGACGAGCACUCUGAGGGAUCCAACAGCAACGAUGCCGAGGAGAGACAAAGGGCUGCCCCUCGCGCGCCGCGGCUAUGACCGGAGCCUUACCAAGGGCACCAGAGUGCUCUCAGCAACGAGAGGCGCGCGCGGGCGCCCGCCAAGAAGUCGAGCACCCCCACCACGAGGGAGGAGCGCGACAACGGGCGCGAGACGUCCAGCGACGCAUCUGCGCGGAUGAAGAGCGUCCGCAGCUUUUCGCCCGCGCCAGCCAAAACGUCGCAGCCGCGGCGGUGUUGCUCCGACAGCUCCCCGAACCAGCGAUGCCCGAGGAGCGACGGGCACGCCAAGAGAUGCGCGACCUGCUCGAAUGCGCCGCCGUCCAGCAGGCGGAAAGCUCCGCGUCCCGGCGACGCGGGCAGAAUGCCAGCAGGGCGACGCCCGACGCGCCCCCGGAAAGGCGGGGGGAAUCAGUCCAUCUACCCCCUCCUGGGGCGAAUCAGGCCGCGUCCGCCCGACGGACUCCACCACCCGCGGGAGGCGAGGCUCGAUCCGUCCACCAGCGCGUCGGCCUCGUCCGCGACGCCCGCGACACCCUAAACGCGCGGAGACGCUCCCGCGCGGACAGGGAGGACGGGGUAGAUCGAGGCUACCACGUCCACCGUGGCGGGCGCUACGACAGCGGGGAAGACCGCAGCCUGAGCCCCGGUCCGGCUGGGCCCCGGGCCUUCUGUGCGCGCAUCCUGAACGCGCCUUUUCCGCCGCGCUUCAGGCAACCCAUGAGUAUAGCCAAAUACUCAGGGGAGACGAAUCCUGGAGUGUGGCUCAGCGAUUACCGGCUUGCAUGUCAAGCCGGCGGGGCGGAUGAUGACCUGUUUAUCAUCCGCAACCUACCCCUCUUCCUAGCCGACUCAACGCGAGCUUGGCUAGAACAUAUCCCUUCGGGACGAGUUCGCAACUGGAAUGACCUGAAGGAGGUUUUCAUAGGGAACUUCCAGGGCACGUACACACGCCCCGACAAUUCCUGGGACCUCCGGAGCUGUCGUCAGGGGGCGGACGAGUCCCUCCGAGAUUAUAGCCGGCGCUUCUCCAGGAAGCGCACCGAGCUCUCCAACGUCGCGGACGCCGAUGUCAUAGGAGCUUUCCUAGCAGGAACCUCCUGCCGGCCCCUCGUCCACGAGCUGGGGUGCCGAGGCCCGCGAACCACGGAGGAGCUCCUCAAUAUCGCCACUAGUUACGCCUCGGGCGAAGAGGCCGUUGGAGCAAUCUUCGACCGCUCCAAAGGCAAGGCGAAACGGGAGGAGGUUGCUGGCGAAGGCACCUCCAACCGCCAGCAGAAGAAGAAGGGCAAGUUACGGCGCGAGGCCCCCCUCGUGGCCGCAGCUGAGCGCAAGCGAGGGCCGCCGCCCCCCGAGGGCGCUCCCGGCUUCUUCGACAAGUUGCUUGAGGGACCGUGCCCGAACCACGAGUUCCCCGUGAAGCACGCCUACAAAGACUGCAACCUCAUGAAGAGAUACUUCAUGGGCAAUUCGGUGAAAGGCGACCGGAAGCGGAAGCCCGAUGAGGAAAAGAAGGGCGACGAAGAGAAGGAAGACGGCUUCCCCAAGGUGGACGGCUGCUUCAUGAUCUUCGGGGGCUCUGCGGCAUACGACACCAAGCGCCAGUAGAAGCUGGAGCGCCGGGAGGUCUACGCGGCCGAGCCAGCGACUCCGGCCUUCCUGGACUGGUCAGGGCCGGCCAUCACCUUCGACAGGACCGACCACCCUGGACGCGUCCGGCACCCGGGGCGUUACCCUCUCGUCGUCGACCCCAUCGUCGGCACGACGCGCCUCACCAAGGUGCUCAUGGACGGAGGCAGCAGCCUCAACAUCCUCUACGCCGAGACCCUCGACGCUAUGGGGAUCGACCGUUCCCGCCUCCAUCCCAGCAAGGCGCAUUUCCAUGGCGUCGUGCCAGGGAAGCAGGCGAUGCCUCUCGGGCAAAUCGACCUGCGCGUUACGUUCGGGACCCCUUCCAACUACAGGAAGGAGGUCCUCACAUUCGAGGUGGUGGGGUUCCGCGGAACCUACCACGCCAUCUUGGGACGGCCUUGCUACGCAAAGUUCAUGGCUAUCCCCAACUACACCUACCUCAAGCUCAAGCUGCCGGGGCCCAACGGGGUCAUCACCGUCGGCACGACCUUUCAGAAGGCGUACGAGUGCGACGUAGAGUGCUGCGAGUACGCCGCGGCCAUCACCGUCACGAGCGAUUCGGCAGUCCAGCUUGCGGAGGCCACCGAGGACCGGCCCGACUCCAGGCAGCCGAACAUCUCCUUCGAGCCCGCUGAAGGUAUCAAGGAGGUCCCCCUUGAUCCCGGUUGUUCCAACGGAGGAGUCGUGCGGAUCAGCGCGGCCCUAUCCCCCAAAUAGGAAAGCGCGCUCGUUGACUUCCUCCGCGCGAACAGCGACGUCUUCGCGUGGAAGCCAUCGGACAUGCCAGGCAUUCCGAGGGAAGUCGCCGAGCACUCCUUGAACAUCAGGGCCGGUUCCAAGCCAGUAAAGCAAGGAUUGCGCCGUUUCGACGAGGAAAGGCGCAAGGCCAUCGGCGAAGAGCUCCAGAAGCUUCUGGCGGCCGGGUUCAUCAAGGAAGUGCACCACCCCGAGUGGCUAGCUAAUCCUGUCCUUGUACCAAAAAAGAAUGGGAAAUGGAGGAUGUGUGUCGAUUAUAACGGUCUCAACAAAGCGUGUCCAAAGGACCCGUUUCCUUUGCCACGCAUAGAUCAAAUAGUCGACUCAACUGCCGGGUGCGAGACCCUCAGCUUCCUCGACGCAUAUUCCGGCUACCAUCAGAUCGCGAUGAAAGAGGCCGACCAGCUCGCUACCUCCUUCAUCACCCCCUUCGGUCCCUACUGCUACGUUAAGAUGCCAUUCGGCCUCAAAAACGUGGGGGCUACCUUCCAGCGAUGCAUGCUGUAGUGCUUCGGAGACCUCAUUGGGCGGACCGUUGAGGCCUACGUUGACGACAUCGUCGUAAAAUCCCGGAGGGGCGACCAGCUCGUUCCCGUCCUUGAACUAGCCUUCGAGAGGCUGAGGGAUAAGCGUAUUAAGCUCAAUCCCAAGAAAUGUGUGUUCGGAGUCCCAAGGGGCAUGCUGUUAGGCUUCAUCGUCUCCGUGCGCGUCAUCGAAGCAAACCCGGAGAAGAUAGCGGCCAUUAGAGACAUGGGGCCGAUCCGGAACAUAAAGGGAGUUCAGCGCAUCAUGGGAUGCUUGGCAGCUCUAAGCCGCUUCAUCUCGCGCCUCGGCGAGCGAGGGCUUCCUUUCUAUCGGCUCCUGAAGAAGACUGACCGUUUCGAAUGGACCAGCGAGGCCCAGGAGGCACUUGACCGACUCAAGGACCUCCUGACGAAGGCCCCGAUCCUAGUCCCGCCUACCGACGGCGAGUCCCUCCUGCUCUACGUCGCGGCGACCACCCAGGUGGUUAGCGCGGCCUUGGUGGUGGAACGAGAAGAGGAAGGACACGCUCUCAAGGUGCAACGCCCGGUGUAUUUCAUCAGCGAAGUCUUGUCCGAGUCCAAGACACGUUACCCGCAGAUCCAGAAGCUCGUCUACGCCAUCCUUAUCACAAAGAGGAAGCUGCGCCACUACUUCACCUCCCACCCGGUAACAGUCAUUUCGUCAUUCCCGUUAGGCGAAGUAAUCCGGAACCCAAAUGCUACAGGGAGAAUCGCGAAGUGGGCGCUUGAGCUCAUGGACCAGGGUAUCACCUACGUCCCCCGCACCGCCAUCAAGUCCUAGGCACUCGCCGACUUCGUGGCAGAGUGGACGGAGAUUCAAACGCCAUCGGCGCCAGAGAAGCAGGAGUAUUGGACAAUGUACUUCGACGGGUCACUGAUGAGGGCCCGCGCCGGAGCGGGUCUCGUUUUCGUCUCUCCCUUGGGCAUGCGCAUCAGGUACAUGAUCCACCUUCAUUUUCCUGCAUCUAAUAAUGUCGCCGAGUACGAAGCCCUCCUCAACGGACUCCGCAUCGCCAUCGAGCUGGGCAUCCGUCGGCUGGACAUCCGGGGCGAUUCCCAGUUGGUCGUCGAACAAGUCAUGAAGGAGUGGAGCUGCCACGACCCCAAAAUGGCAGCCUACUGCAACGAGGUCCGUAAGCUCGAAGACAAAUUCGACGAGCUAGAGCUCAACCACGUCGCAAGGCGCUUCAACGAAGCCGCCGACGAGCUGGCGAAGGCGGCAUCCGAAUGAAUGCUCGUCCCCGACGGCGUCUUCGUUAGCGACCAGUUGAAGCCCUCAAUCCGUUACCCAGAACUGCAGGGGUCGGCGAAGCACCCCCGGCCCUGGGAUCGGGACCCGAGUCAGGGGAGGUCGGCAGCGCGCCACCUGUCCGAGACCCGAGCACCAGCCCCGAGGGGGUCGACAACGCUUUGCCCAACUCGGCCCCGGGAGCCGAUCCGUCCGACCCCGGGGUCAUGGAAAUCACGGCAGAUUCCGCGGCGGGUGCCGACCCCCCGAUCGAUUGGAGAGCCCCAUACAUCGACUACCUCGUCCGCGACACGCUCCCGGCAGACAAAACGGAGGCCCGUAGGAUCGCGCGCCGCGCCAAAUCCUUCGCCAUCAUCGACCAGGAGCUCUACAAGAAAAGCCACACUGGAAUCCUCCAGCGCUGCAUCUCGAUCGAACAGGGAAAGGCGCUGAUCAAGGAUAUCCACGCCGGAGCCUGUGGUCACCACGCCGCGCCAAGGACCCUCGUUGGUAACGCCUUCCGACAAGGUUUUUACUGGCCGACCGCGGUCGCGGACGCUACCCAGGUAGUCCGCACCUGUGAAGGAUGCCAGUUCUUUGCCCGCCAGACUCACCUGCCCGCGCAGGCGUUGCAGACCAUCCCCAUCACGUGGCCAUUUGCGGUUUGGGGGCUAGAUCUCGUCGGACCCUUCAAGAAGGCACCCGGGGGCUUCACCCAUCUGCUCGUCGCCAUCGACAAGUUCUCCAAAUGGAUCGAGGCAAGACCGGUGGCGCAAAUCAGGUCCGAGCAGGUGGUCCAGUUCUUCACCGACAUCAUCCACCGCUUCGGGAUCCCGAAUUCCAUCAUCACCGACAACGGCACACAGUUCACUGGGAAGAGAUUCCUCCAGUUCUGCGACGACCACCACAUCCGAGUGGAUUGGGCGGCCGUGGCACACCCCCGCACGAACGGGAAAGUCGAGCGAGCCAAUGGCAUGAUACUCCAGGGUCUCAAGCCAUGGAUCUUCGACCGCCUUAAAAAAUUCGACGGACGGUGGGUUGCGGAGCUUCCCGCAGUCCUUUGGAGCCUGAGGACGACCCCCAGCCGGGCGACGGGCUUCACCCCGUUCUUCAUGAUCUACGGGUCAGAGGCCAUUUUGCCCACCGAUCUAGAGUACAGAUCGCCAAGGGUCAAGGCAUACGACGAACAGGGAAACCAGGCAUCAUUCGAGGACGCGCAAGAUCAACUCGAUGAAGCGCGAGACGUAGCUCUACUGCACUCGGCUAAGUACCAGCAGGCCCUACGGCGUUACCACAGCCGCAAGGUGCAAGGCUGAGCCUUCAACGUCGACGACUUGGUGCUCCGCCUCGUCCAAGACAACAGGGGUCGGCACAAGUUGACUCCCCCAUGGGAAGGCCCGUUCAUCGUCGUACAAGUUCUACGGCUGGGCACCUACAAGCUGGCAACUCCCGACGGGCAGGUUUUCAGCAACGCCUGGAACAUAGAACAGCUAAGGUGCUUUUACCCAUAGCUUUUAUUUCCAAGCCCUGCAUAAAACUUGUCUUCAAUUCCGAUAUUUCCUUUAAGCUCAGGGGUAUCCGACCCUGGCCUCGUUCCAGGGCCGCAUACCCCUCGGGGGCUACCAGUUUUGCUCCUCUGCGAAAAAAAAGAAACCCCGAGCCGUCUCGGUUCAGGCCUUUUCCUUUAAGCUCAGGGGUAUCCGACCCUAGCCUCGCUCCAGGAUCGCAUACCCCUCGGGGGCUAUCAGAGGUUCCGACCCCAGCCGCUCGGCCCUAUCUAAAAGAAACAUUUUUUCUUUUCAAACCGAACACUCCCUUUCUAGACCUUUGGGCGCAAAAAAGAGAAGGAUGCGCGAACGGUGCUCAGGCAAGUUUGAUCGGACUGCGAAAAAACCUACGCCCCAGCGGCUACGGCACCUUCGCUCAUCAAAACUUAAUGACGCACCCGACAACGCAUUCUAAACUUUCAAGCCCAAAGGAACAGCAAAGGGGAUCGGGAUCUUUCGCACAACGAAGUCAUAAACAAGCCUGUAUGGCCAUCACAAAAUAAGUUCGAAACUAACAUAAUUACAUUUUGGGCACAAGCCCGGUACAGUUAACUUGACGAGGGGUCGGCAGGAGGGAUGACCUCAUCUUCCAGGAGCUUCGCGAGGGCCUCCGCCGGCGCGGACACCGCUGCAUCAAUCCCGUCCAGCUCAGCUUCGGUGUAAUCAGCGGCGUACCCUUCACUCAUCCCGGCAAAGUUGAUGCCAGAAUAAUGGGAGCCGAAGACCCCGAAGGCUCGCCGCAUGCCGACGUGAAGCGCGUCCAUGGCGAUCUCGCGACGUCGACGGCGUACCCCAAGGACACGAGCCGGCAGAGAGCUCGACCCCUCCUCCGGAACUACGCCAAAGUCGUCACAGACGACGCGGACCGCAUCCCGCAAGGCGCCGUGCUCGCCGUGCUCCGCGUCGAGCAAACCCUUCAGCUUGGCGAUUUCGCCUGCAGGAACCACCCAGAAAAGCCCACCAAGUCAAGAACAGAACACAAAAUGUCACGGGAACGCGGGAACGGAAAAAAAAAGCCUCACCGUCGGCCCAGGCCUUCAACUCGCGCUCCCGGUCGGCUCCUUGAGACACGGCGGACUGGAGUCCCUGCACUUGCGAGCGAAGGCGACCAGUCUCCGCGCUAAGGGCUUCACGCUCCCCCCUCAGCUGUGCAAGCUCCCCGGCAUCACGACGGGCCCUCUCAGCGGCAGCUUGAAGCUCCUCGGCGUCGCGGCGGACCCUCUCAGCGACAGCUUGGAACUCCUCGUGGUCGAGGCGGGCUUUCUCGAUGACGGCUUGGAGCUUGGCCUCCGAUCACCGCGCCUCCUCCAACGCCGCCCCCUCACGCCUUUGCAGGUCCCGAAUGACCCCCUGGGCGGCAGUGACUUGCAGGGACAGGUCCCUGGUGCGCUCCCUCUCCGCGUUGAAGCGCUCCCAGAGACCCUGCUGCAGCCGAAGGAAAUCAGAUUUCCCCCGACUGCCCUCUUGGAGGGCCUGCAAAGCAACGUGCCAUUAGAAAAAAAAAAGCAAAAGGGAGGUGCUGAUCACCAACAGUAGGAGCAACAUACCUGGCUGCCAGGGAGGACGGUGUUACCCAGAACCCCCAACGCCGAAGACAGAGCCGCCUCAACGUGGGCAAGGCCGCCCUGCAUCGCCUGCCACUUGUGCCACUCAGUGGCGUCGUCCAGCGUGAAGAGAUGCCUCGGCGGGUCAUCGCGGGAUGACCAGCGAAGGACAGACCCCCUCCACGCCCUGGGAACGGAGGGAGCCGAGGCCGAGGCAGGGGCCGAUCCUGACGCUGCCGUCAAGGUCGGCACCAUUGCACUAGAAGCCGCCGAGUUUACUGACGGCCCCGGCACCUGCACGCUCGUCGCCGCCGAGGCCGCCGGCGGUAUCCCAGUGGGCCCCUCCGCCUCCGCCGCCGGAGCCACUCCCGCGGGGGUAAUUGGGGCGGAGGCCCCCGCCUCCGUCACCGUUGCCUCCGCCGCCGCGCUUUCGGGGGCAGGCGUUCCCUCCGCCACCGAUCCCGCCGCGGCUGCGGGGGCAUCCGCCCUACCUCCCGUCGCCGCCGUCUCCUCUGCCUCGUCGGCGUCGAAGUCGAUCACCUUCCCGGCCUGAGAACCCGGGGGGAUCGUGCCCUGCGCUGUAGGGGCGACUGGGGGGACCGAAGGCGGAGUAGGGUCCGCUCCCCCUCCCACGGCUGACACCGCCGUCGCUCCGCCGGCCGCCACCACAGGGGCCGCCUCCGCGGAGGGGUCCGCGGCCUCACCAGGGACCCCGCCGCUCGCCGCGGGCGGGACCGCGGUCCGCCCCCCAGAGGAGGUUGACAACCGCAACGCCUUCUUAGGCACCAGCUGCAGGGCAAGGCCACGAGGGGCGGCGCUGCAUAUCGACAAACAGACGUCAGCACAAACGAGCGUGAGAAGAGGAGAGGAACGAGGCGCAAGGAAGGCCAACUUACGUCCUUGAAGCACAAGGGCGGCGCGCGCGCUUCGACUCAGAGCCCGACGCCGACCCCGGGGCAUCUGGCAGCGGCCGCUUGUCGCCACUUCGCUGCUCUCCAGUCGCGGGCACGGCGGUGGAGGCAGUCUCUGCAGAUCUCCGAGGAGCACCCUGAGCGGACUCCUGGGGAGCGCCCCGCGCCGGCUCUGAAGUGGCGGCGGGGGCAGGCUCCGAGGACCCCCGAGGGGCGCUCCGCGCCAGCUUUGGGAAGGAGCCCCGUGUCGACCCCUGGGGGGCACCCUUCACCGACCCCUGGGGAGCGUCCCGCGCCCGCUCCUGGGAGGCACCCCGCGCCGGCCCCUGGGGGGCGUUCCGCGUCGACUCCUGGGGGGCGUCUCGUGCCGGCUCCGAAGCGGCGGCGGGGGCAGGCUCCGAAGACCCCCGAGGGGCGCUCCGUAUCGACCCCUGGGGGGCACCCCUUGCCGACCCCUGGGGAGCGUCCCGCGCUCGCUCUUGGGACACGCCCCGCGUCGGCCCCUGGGGGGCGUCCCGCGUCGUCUCCUGGGGACACGCUGUACUGGCCCCUGGGGCGCAGCCCCAGGGCCUGGUGGAGCCGAAGCCCGGGCGGGCGCCUCCUCCACUUCACCUCCCGCGGCCGUCCGCGGGGGUGCCUCACGAAUGGCGAGGGCGCCCGAUCGGAAGGAGGAAAUCAGCUCCUCCUCAUCAUCAUCUUCCUCAUCUUCAUCCUCUUCAUCAUCGUCGUCAUCAUCGUCGUCGUCGUCAUCGAACACGACCGACCCCCUCCGCCGCCGUUGGAACUCCUUAGCGGCCUUCUUCCUCUUCUUCGCCAUCUCGAUGUCCUUCCGGCGCUUCUGCGCCUCGGCGAGGAGACGGUUGUGCGUCCGCCGCUCAACAUCUUCCGGCACCGGCGGGAGCGAGUGCGCGACCCGGGUUAGCGGACCCUACAAACGCAAAGCAGCUCCACGUCAGAGUGACAAUCGCAAGACACGAAGAAAGGAGGAGGACGCCCCAACUCCUUACCAGAUCUAUGAGCCCGCAUCCGGGCGCAUCGGCGGGUGCCCGGGAAUCGGGUACUCGACGUCCUUGUCCUCCAGCGCCUCCCGAAUCCGUUGCCGGAUCUCGGAAGCGACGAGCGCACCCGUCGCCAAGGCGGUGCCCUCGGUCGGCGCGUCGGGGGUCAUGGCGGCAAGCGGUCGGAUUCAGAGCAUCAGUGGCGCCACCCGUCGGGUGUGGUACGCUCCGAUGACCCCGGCGCCGGUGAGCCCGUCCCGCUUCAGCCGCUCGAUGGCCUGCAGCAGGUCGAAGAACCGCUUCUUGUCCUUCUCCACUGGCCCGUACGCCCACACCUCCGGCGCCGCGUCGAUGGUACGGCCGGUGAAAGCCGGCAGGGGGGAGUUCGGGUAGUUCUUCACAUAGAACCACUGGUUGUGCCACCCCUUGUGGGACGCCGAGGUCUUCAUCGUCAUGUUCUCCUUGGAGCGGGUAUGACGAAGGUGGAUCCCGGCGCACCCGAUCGGCACCGGAGGUGACCGCUGCUGGCUCCCUCGCUUCUCCGUCUUCUGGUACAGGCUCACUGUGAAAAAGUAUUUCCACAGCGAGAAGUGGGGCUCAAUGCCUAGGAAUCCCUCGCACAGGGCGACGAACGCCGCAAUGUGCUGGAUCCCAUUGGGUUUGAGGUGCUGGAGCUCGAGCCCAUAGUAGUGGAGGAGCCCCCGAAAGAAGCGGCUCGAGGGAGAGGCGAACCCCCGCUCAUGGAAGUGAGCGAAGGAGACGAUGUAGCCAGAGAGAGGCUCCGGCACCUGCUCCGGGCCCGACAGCAACCACUCAGCCGCCUCCGUCUUCUCGCAGAGGAGGCCUUUUCGCACCAGGCCCUCGGCGCGCGAGGAGGUGAAAUGGGAGAUCCCCCAGGAACCCAUCGCCGGAGGAGGGAGAUCAACGGAGGUGAGAAGAAAGGGCACGGCUUGGAGCAAAGGAAACGAAGCGGGCACGGACAAACUGAACGCUAGGCUGGAGGGCGGAAAGGCUCGAAUGCAGAAGGCGGGCGGAACCGGCGCGGCGGGCUCCCGUUUUUAUAGGAAAGGUACGGGAGAAGCCAAAUCGACGCCCCGGCCGCCAUAAAUGCGGCGCCAGGUACGCCCCUGCCACGCCCGUUUCCUUUUCGAAAACCGCGCGCACGGCCGGCCGCGAAAACAUCCUAUCCUCCUCGAUUCGCGGGAUGGCGCUUCCCAUAACUCCACCUCCCGGAAGGCACGACGUCCCCCACGUUCGGCCCAGACGUCACGACCGCUCCGUUCUGGCCCAAGGCCCACCGAAAGGUAAGAAAGGGAUACGGGGCUGAAAACGCCCCUACGGCCCAUUACGGUCCAGAGGUUCGAAGGCUGGCCCACCGCGGGAUCGACAGCUGCCUCAGGAUAUCUCCCGAGCAAGGGGUGAGAAGGGACGGGUCCACUAGCGGCCAACACCCAGGCAAGCGAAAGCCAAGGGCGUCCCGACCUCACGUUCGAGUCCCGUCCGGUAUAAAGUUCAUGGUUUUUCCACGGGGAAAGGCAACGAGCCCCCGGAUUCGGCCGAACGGACCCGGGAACUAUAUGAACUGGCCGGCGGGAAAUUGUAGUACGCCACCAGCUUGGCCCGAGCCGGACCCCCCCGAACGGGGACCGGGACUCCACUCGAACCUACCUGUUCGCAGCUCAAAGCGAGCACCACGGUUCGUCCAACUAGGAUAACGUGGCACGGCUCAACCCCUCCGUCCUAGCGAACGGACGCUUGAGGGGCAACGACCAAAAGUCGACCUGGCCUCCCGACCGGUCUCCCGCAACGAGCAGGGGCUCGGGGGCUAGCAUCGCAACCAACGACCAUGCGUAUGGUCACGAUUCCCAGGCUCCCCGGCCAAACCGGGAUGAAGCAAGCGCACCAUAAACAAAAUCCACGGAGAAACGGCGAAAGAAGCCUCCGGAGGAGCACUUUUUGCUCCACCACAGGCUCGGGGGCUACUGUUGGGGGGAAAUAUUAACGAUCCCCUAAAUACCGCUUAAAGGAGCAGACGCGAAGGCCCGGGCCCACCUAAGCAUAAUCAAAACUCCGCCUCGCCCGACCGCGGCCUCAGGGUCAGGAACGCCCGACUCCCCUCCACGAGGUUUCCGCCUCGUCCGACUACGGCCCCAGGGUCGGAGGCGCCCGACCCCUCGCCACAAGGUUCCGCCUCGUCCGACCCCAAGCGCAAGGGUCGGGCUCGCUGGGGCCCCCAGGGCAGGCAUCCCCCUCGGAUGCGGACCAGGUGGGCAAGGUAAACAAAUGCUGCGGGUCCCUCCCCCGUCGGGCUCAUCAUAAAUGCGCCGCAGGCCUGGCAGAGGGAGGAAUGACCGUGCUCCUCACACAACCCGCCGCAAGUACCCAUGCACGACCAUACUCUACAAGCUACAGCGCUGGCGGCUCACUCCCAUUCGCCGCAGGGUACUCAUGGCCUGCGCCGACCGGAGCGGAGGAGAGACUCGCCUGUCCUCGGGCCCCGCGCACCCUCGGGUCCCGUGCGCCUGGCAGCUAGGAUGUGACGCCCUCUCUCCAGGAGCCAUCAUCAGAACGGCAGCAUCCACCGUCCUCCCCAACGGACACCGGGAUAACGACGAAACGCCCUCAUCAUAACCCGACGCCGACGGAUGCCGAAGGAGCUAUCUGUAGGGUGCGACGACAGUUGGCGCACGGCCGCCUCCCCCUCCGGCAUGCACGCCGGCGCUCGCCAGGAGCCGGCGGAGGCGUCGGGCGUCUAGGAACUUGUUCCUCCCAUCCUGCCGUAUUUUUUACCGUACUACGUUCACAUUUUACGGUCCUCUUCGCCCGAUCCCAACUGUAACUCUGGCCACUCCCCUUGCGAUAUAAAAGGAGGAAGACAGGGCCGGAGGGGGGAUCGGCUUCUUCCCCCUCAAGCCACAGCACGCUAGUACGCUCCCUGAGAACAUAGGCACAAAGAGACUUGGGACCAGUCCCUCUCUCGUCGGUCUGUAACCCCUACUACAGAACUCCGCGUGGGUAAUACGAGCAUUCACGAUACUGGACGUAGGGCUCCCUUUGCCCGAACCAGUCUAAUUCGUGUCUCCCACGCCACCAUCUGAGGCCUUACGCGCAUAAAAGAAAUUUACUAGUCUAAGUCUUGAUCCGCCAAUCUUGACAACGACAAAUCUAAAAAUCCAUAACUAAUUAAUUUUAAAUCAUAAAAGUUUGAAACUAUUACCCAUCAUCUUUUUCUAGAAUGUUACCUUUUAUGUUGGUUUUUUUGAGUUAUUUGCAUAUUAUUGUCCCCAUCUCUAGUGUUUUAUUGCUUGUAGUCAAACCUACUAUUUAUUUAUUGUUGUUUUGCAUUGUAUGAUUAUUGGAUGCUAUGCGAUACAAAGAUAAUUGUUCAACAACCAUAUGCAUCAUGAAGAAAUUUCCGGAUACGAUUGAUAUUAGUACAUUAUUAACUUCUUAUCAAGAAAUAUCAAUGAAGUGUUUUAUAUGAAUAUUUUUAAUGCACCUUGAGUUUUUGGAUAACCUUUUUCAUAAAAGUUAAUUAGAUGCAUUCUUAACUAAAUAAGCCAUUUGGUAAUUUUUCAAAAAUGUUUAUUUAGGUAACAGAAAAUUUAUUUAUUUAUUCUGGAAAAAGUUUUUUUUUAACGAAGUUAGCAAGGAAAGCACCUACCUAUUCUUUAAUUGUUAUUUUAGAUCCGUUUAAUUCGCUCCCACGAGAAGUUGAAUAUAGACCUGCAGGAUGUUACUCAGGUGCUCUAACCACUAGACUAGAGUCCCUUUCGCUUCUGAAAAAGGUUUUACAAAAAUCUUUUCCCUAUUAUCUUUUGUUAAGUCUGGGAUGUUGCCGCACGUGGGAAAGAAAGAACGGGAAACAUAGACCGAGACCGCUGCUGCGCCGCCACCAUGCUUCGCCGUUGGAGGGUUAGGGUUCGGGGUUUCGGGUUAUGGGUCAUCGAUGGCGCGGCUAUCUCCGAUGUGGCUGGGAUAUAUGGGAGGUUGACGGUGGCUAGGUAGCAGGCGGUGGUGGCGGGUUGUGUGCGGGAUGGCGGGACACCACCAGUUCCGAUUUGUGGAAGACAAUAGGUGGCCUCUAGAGGCAGCGGGGGAAUCUUGGUGAGCUUCCCGCGCGGGGCUGGGUUAGGGCGGCGAAGGAUGGUGGCGGUGGAUGUGGCAGCGCGAGCCGCCGGAGAUGAUGGAGGAUGGCGGCGCGGGCGCGAGCAAAGGAGGACAGUGCGAUGGUGAUCGAGGGUUGCGACCGGCGACGCCGGAUGCAGUGGCGAGAGCCGUCGGAGCUAGAGGAGGAGGGCAGCGCGGGGGCAUGGGCGUGCGCGCUCCUGGGCUGCCAUCACUGAAGGUGACAUUGGUGAUUUUUGUCACCUUCUGUGAUAUAUAGAUAUAGACAUGCUCUAGAUAGAGGACUCCUUGGAGAGACCCCGAGAAUGGAGAUGGGCAUUUGGAGCUCUUCCAAAAUAAGGAAUCUAGAGGACUUGCUAGAAUGCAUUUUUUUUGACUUGGUCCAUUGGAGUUGUUCUAAGCCAACAACUAUUAGCAUCCUUUUAGAUAACUCUGUUAAUCUGAAAUACAACAGUUUCCUACUUUAUGUAUAAUGAGUGUCAUUGCGUCACUACGUACGAGGUCUACUUUAUGGCGGAUCUGAAGGUGUGUUUGGUUGGGAUGUGGCUUUUGGAAAAGCUACUGUGAGCUGUGGGCUGUGAAAAAGUAGCGGGGAGAAAGCAGCUGUGGGAAAAGCAGAAGACCGUUUGGUUAGAGCAGCUACGAAACUGUAGGUUGUGUAAGAAAUACCUGUAAUGCCCCUAAAGGUCUGCGGGUGUGUUUACAUGCAAAUUGCUCAUAACAAAAUAAUGUGUUCACUAAUUCACAUGUAAAUGACUAUUUUAGAAAGGAAAAAAAAUAAAUUUUAUAUGUUCUUCAUCCAUAUAAGUGAUUGGUCCACAUAAAUAGAACAAUAUCCAUCAAAAGGUUUAUACAAUGAUGUCAUCUCUCAACAUUACUGUCCUCCUCUCGCACUAACCAAAGCAUCAACUAUCCUAGCAUGAAUGAUAUUCAUGGUAUCCUCAUUCUCCAUAUCGUCACUCUCAUCUCCUUGUGUUUGUCUCGUGCCACUUGUAUAUUGUACCAAGUACUCCUACAAAACCGAGUUAGUAAGGUACAUAAUAAUACACGUAUUUCUAACUUGAUGAAGGAAUCAUGUAUACCUUUAGGAGGCACGAGAAAUAUGUCUCAAAGCAUUGUCGAGAAAAUUGAAAGAAAAGAUGAUGAACAAAGGAGGGUCAAUUCUUGUUGCUCUUUGGACUAGAGGAUUGACGAUGAUCAUUGCAGUCCUAACAAUUCUCUUGUUGCAGAACAGAGUAGCAACUUCUGAGUAGCAUAUGAUUCUUACAUCUUCCAGGCGAGGUGGCUAGUGUGCUGGAUGAAGUUGAGGUCCCUUGGCAACCUGGCAAACGCCUCCGUCAUGUCUGCAGGCAAAAUUUCCAAAAAAAACAAGAAGAUUUCAACACCACCAACAAAGCAAGCAUGUAAUCACCUGAUUAAUCAAUCAGCAAACAAUUCACAACUAGCAAUCUGUAGAAAUUAGCACGCCAUUACCGUCCUGGGUGAUGAGCGGGUAGUCGGAUGCGUUGAGGUUGACGAACCAGUCCCAGCGGCGGUGAAGGCGGAGCAGCAACGCGACGGCGUGCAGCGUGGUGGUGAGCAUGGUGGGGCCCCGGUAGGUGACGAGGUUGGGCCUGCCGACGAUCCACACGUUGCCCGCGAUCGCGUACACACCCCACCUGGACAUGAGCUCUGCCAGCCGGCAGUGCUCCUCCCCUGGACCGCAGGUAGUUGUUGGCCGGGUGGUACAGUGCCGCCAGCAGCCGCAUCGUGCGGCCCACUUCCCCUGAGGAUGCCGAGAUAAGGUAUGCGAACGAGAUCGGGUACCGCGGCGCCUCGCCGGCGGCACCGUCGAAGGCGGCCAACGAUGAGAGUGUUGACGUCGGUUUUUGACACGUGUCAGGGUCGACGUCAAGAGGAGAAGAAAGUGGCUGAUGCGGUUAAACAAGAAGCUAUGGCUAGAGAAAUCAGUCAGUAAAGCUAUAGUGUUUCAGCCGAUUAGCUAAUGAGAUAGAUGAAGACUGGCCGAUUGGAAGCUAGAAAAGCUCGGCCGAUAUGGGCCUAAAUGGGCCAAGGUGGUAACAAGAUGAAGAUAGGAUUGGCCCAUAGAGGAUUGGAUGGUGUUCGACUCCGAUACAAGUUGUAUCCGUAUGUAAAUAUUUGUUGCUUUGAAUAAGAAAUAGAAUAUUGAGUCAUAGUCGGUUAGGAAACGAGUUGUAACAGGGUAUAAAUAGGUGCCCCGUGAGGCUGGCAAAAACAUCAACAAACAUCAAUACAAAUCUACUUUUUCAUGCAACUUUACUUUCAUGUCGGCGACUUUGCCAAACCCUUUUCUUUUCACGAGUUCGUGUGAGUUGGCAGGGCUGCAUCAACGUGAUCUCCGAGCAAUUUGUAAGUUCCGCGUUUCGAGUAAUAUAUAAGCUUUAACUUUGGGCGUAUCGCUGUUGUUUUGUUUAGAUUUAUUCACUAGUUAUCGAUAUUUGCUAGAAUUAUAGGUUUUAUUCUCCGGUGGAAAGAUUGUGCCUUUGCCUGUAUUUCUCUUGCACUAAACUCAGGCGAUACCUAUUAUCGGCGGAAUGUGUGGUCGCGUGUAAAGUUGAUGUUGUCAAGUAUAUGUUAUCACUGCCGAUCUUGAAGGGAAGGAUUGGAAAAUGUAUUCUGGCACUCUCAGAAUUCGAUCUCAGGUACGAAUCGGCCAAGGCCGUCAAGGGUCAGGUAAGGCUGAUUUCGUCACCCAACACUGUGGAUCAGAAAUUACUGUCGUUGAGCCGGCUCCAUGGACUCUGUACUUCGAUGGAUAUUCGUGUGGGAUUGGAUCAGGAAUCGACAUAAUUCUUAUAUCGCCUCGGGGGGCAAGUUAUGAGUUCUCUCUGCCGAUUGAGGCUUCCGCUACUAAUAAUCAAGCAGAAAAUCGGGCUGUCUUAAAGGGCAUCCAAUUAUUGAGGGAGGUCAAGGCUGACGUGGUAGAAAUAUUUGGGGAUUCCAUGAUUAUCGUGGAUCAGUUGAUUGCAAAGUGUGAGUGCAAGGAUGAUAUUCUAAGGAUUUAUUAUGAGGAAUGCCUCCGGUUGCUCAAAGAAUUCAAGACCGUAACUAUUGAACAUAUCCCUAGGGAUUACAAUGAGGAAGCCAAUAGACUUGCCCAGCACGCUUCUGGCUACUGGCCGAUUCAUGGCGCUUUCGCUCUAGAGCUGGCGGCCGACAACUGGAGGAAGGAGAUCGCCGAUUAUUUAAAGGAUCCAUCCAAGAAAGUUGAUCGGCAGAUACGCUUCCAAGCCACAAAGUAUGUGUUACUUGAAGAUGAAUUGUUUUAUCGGACGAUUGAUGGAGUGUUUCUCAAGUGCCUUAGCAUUGAGGAAGCAAAGAUUUUGAUGGGUGAGAUUCAUGAAGGUCUAUGUGGGACCCAUCAAUCGGCUUUCAAGAUGAAGUCGAUGAUUAGAAACAAUGGGUAUUACUAGCUGACAGUACUUGAAGAUUGUUUCAAAUAUUAUAAAGGCUGUCAGGAUUGUCAAAAAUUUGGCAACGUGCAACGAGCCCCGGCCUCGGCUAUGAACCCGAUAUUAAAGCUGUGGCCAUUUAGAGGCUGGGUAAUUGAUCUCAUCGGUUAGAUCUAUCUGCCGUCAAGCAAAGGGCAUAAGUUCAUAUUGGUGGCGAUUGACUACUUCACCAAGUGGGUUGAGGCGGUUCCUUUGAAUGUUGUGAUGUCGGCCAACAUGAUCGAAUUCAUGAAGGAGCACAUCAUUUAUCGAUUUGGUAUUCCUCAGACCAUCAUGAUUGAUCAGGGGUCAAUGUUUACCUCAGGGAGUUCGAGGAGUUCACUGCCAGUAUGGGAUUAAGCUGUUGAAUUCUUCUCCGUAUUACGCUCAGGCCAAUGGUGUGACGACCCCGGUUAAAUCUUUCGAGUUAAUCUUAAUACGAGCCCCAAAAUUCCUCUGUCUCAGUUUUUCCCGAGCAGGAGUGCUCCACUCCAGUUCCUGUUCCUGACCCGUGAAGACUCUAACUCACCCCGCCAGUUCCUUUUAAGUCUCAACAACAGUGUCCCUUUCAAUCUUGAACAGAGGAAAGACCGAGACUGACGGAUGGACCCGCAAUCUUUUCCCCGGAUCUCCCGAGGCAUACGCACUCGAGCGGCCUGCACCGCUUCAGAGCUCCCCCGCCGCGUGGCUCAACUUCUCCGACGCCCGCCGCUUCACCCAAUCGCCGGCCGGGACAGGAUAGAUUCUCACGCCCUCCUCCCCAAUCGCAGCGGAAGCCCCUCUGCAACCCUUUCUGCUGCGCCUCGUCUCGCUCGCGCCCUCGCCGGCCGCGCCUUGGUGCUCCGACACCGCUGUGGCAGAGCUUUGCCGCUUGCUGCAUCCAAACUACCUCGCAGCUCACGCCCGUCAUCAUCUCACUGGAUCCCCGACUGCAAGGCCCGAUGCCUUCCGACUUUUCCACCGCCUCUACACAGUCGCGCUCGCCUGCGCAGCCGCAGCCUGCCUAUCUUUUCACCGGUUGCAACCUCGCUUGUAGCGCCGUUCUCCCUGUCACACCCAUCAGAUCCGCCGCAUGACGACGCCCGCCUCCGCCAAACCUCAACUACCGGCAAAACCGCGCCUGCGCCGCCUUGUCUCCCGUGCCCAAUAGCCAAGGACCCUAUCUCCGAAAUCCUGUUCCGCCGCCCAUCGACGCCCAGUCGCCGCCAUGGCAGCGCACUCCAUCCUUUUCUUCCGGUCUUCGUGCUACUCCAACUCCCUCUCUCUUUCGCGCAGCUAUAAAAAGGAAUGCCAGAGCCCUACUGGAGAUCCCUUCACCAUCGUUGCCUCGCCGCCUUGUUCCUGAGCGCCGCCACCUAAGUUCUUGAGGAACUCUCAUCUUCGCUCAACACCCGCCCCUCCCAAUCCACCAAGCCGCCUGCUCCUCCACGCUAUGCUAGAGCUUCCUUGUUGCUCACAAGAAGCUCCGCCGCCGCCGGAGCACCGCCGGACAUAGCCGCCACCAAAGCCUUAGUGCUUAAGACCUUCCGCCCAAGUCUACUCCUUCCCGACCCCAAAGCUUCACCUAUAAACCAAAGGUAAGCUGCCGACCCCUUACCGGUUCGCCCGACCCUACCUGUUCGCCUGACCCUACCUGUUCGCCCGACCCCUCUUUCCAUCUCGCCCGACCCUGUCUGUUAGCCGGCCCUUAUCUUCUUCGCCCGAGGACUCGGCUGUACUCUUUUCCUUGACCCGAGGGUAUCUGUGUAAGAUUUCGGGGACUUCUCUGUAAUAGCUUUGAGGACCCCAAACACAUUAAGGCUUAUGGGUCAGAUCAUAAGUUCUUCCAAUUCGACCCUUGGUCUUGUUCUCUAUCCACUGAAGCUUGAACCCCCACACUCUUUCCGUAGCUUUGCUACAAGUUUCUGGGCUAAGACUUGCGAGUGUUGCUGUUGAAAUAACCGUCUAGACACUAACUCCAGCAUUGCAUUCGUGUAGAGUUUCAUCUUGCUGACGGCGUCUACGAACUACACCCGGUGCCAGAAGACGGAGCUGUAGCUGAGCUACCAGUUCCAGAAGCCGAAGUCGCACCAGCUGAAGACCCGCUUCCCUCCCCUCCACUUGAAGGCAAGUCCCGGAGCAUGAACCCCAAAGUUUCCCAAACUUGCGCAUGCCUUCUUUCUCAUGUUUGUGCAUUUACGUAUAGGAGUUGUUUGCAACCUUAGAUGCAUGGUAUAGUUCCUUGAUCGGAACACUAGUUGUUGAAUCGAGUAGUUGCUAUGCUUAAAUAGGAAGUGGUAAAAGUCGAGUGAUUUCCUGUCACUCGCGAGUUAUAGGAGUUGGUUGUUCUCCUUCUGUUACAACUAUAAGGACGAUGGAUGGGGCAAGGUUUUGGUUAACUCUUUUGCUAGUCGGCUGAUCCCCCCGUCUGUCUAUGGAAUCUGUUAAGGCCCGAUAGUGGUGGUGUUCGUGAUCAAGUGUUUGAAAGUACUAAUCUCAUACCUAGUAUGGGAUGGGGAAGCCUAGUACCUGAUUGAACUAGGGCGUGGCUUAUACCCCUGCUGUCCCUGGAACGAGGUUCCCAUGGUGCAUCAUGUGGGUGCAAGUGCGGUCACAGUACGGUAGAGGCCGGGAUUGUGGAGCAUUGCAUGCCAAGGGAAGUUGGACCUGACACGUGCCUGGGAAUUGAUGGGGACGGCUGACACAGGAAGCGACCCUUGUGGUGCGCGGAUGUCGUGAGAUUAGGUUUGCCAUGCAUGGUUAAGAAACUCGAAGGAUUCGUCUGCCUCUCACAGUUUGAGACUGCUUGAUCGCUAUGCUACACUGAUUAAUGAAAGAGUCUGAUGAUGACAUGGUCUUGAUGAGUAGCUUAUAUACAUAAAGUUGGAUCUAUGUUUGCUUAGAGUAAGAUGCCAACGUAGACUGGUUAAUGAACUUAGAAUUUGAGCUAAAACUUGAAAGCAAGGACCUAACGUAGUAGCUUUUGGCAAACAAAACCCCUCAGCCAAAGAGCCUUGCAUGUCUAGACGUGGUGGAGUAGUUUUACCACCGGUCGGUUAAGUCUUGCUGAGCGUAGCAGCUCAACCUUGUUUGUGGCUUUCUUUUCAGGUGAAGUCGCAGCUCCUGAGUUUGCUUCCGUUGGCACUUGGCCGCCCCAGCUCCCUCCGGGUUGGACGGUUGAGUGGGAUCCUUCCUCGGACGGUGAGGAGAGGGAUCAUUGAUGUCCUGAUCGGCCUCAUUAGGGACAUCCGACCCUGGCGCUAGCUUCCGCUAAUUUAGCUUUCCGCUGCUUUUGAAUCUUGUAAAACUCUGAUUUUUGUUUUUAUGUUGAACUAAAUUGUCAAACUUGUUUAACUCAGUGGAUCUGUUGUAUUCUCUGAAACCGCUCACCUUCGUGUGAGUUUCGCUAAUCCGGUCCUGUAAGUGGUUUAAUCGGAGGAAAUCCGACGGCCCUUCGAGUUAACUUGACUAAGGCAUAAGUGUCGCGUGUCAGGCGACUUAACAAUGCUUUAAUCAAGGUAAUCCGAGGUGGUUCCACCACAAAUGGUCAGGCCAAGUCAUCAAAUAAGGGGGUUAUUAAACUGAUUAAAAGGAAGGUCAAAAAACAACCAAGACGGUGGCAUACAACGCCGAAUGAGUCCUUAUGGGCUUAUCGGAUGGCUUGCCGCGGUGCCACCAAGGUGUCCCCUUAUCAGUUAGUAUAUGUGCAUGAAGCAGUAUUACCUUGGGAGUUGAAGACUGGGUCUAGACGUGUGUCACUUCAGAAUCAGUUGUCGGUUGAUGACUAUUCCGCCCUCAUGAGGGGAGAAUUGGAAGAUUUGGCGAAUCAACAGCUAAGGGCUUUGAUCAGCAUUGAGGAAAAUAAGAAAAGAGUCACCAGGUGGUAUGACAAGAAGGUCAAGGUCAAAAGGUUUUCCCAAGGGGAUUUAGUCUGGAAGUUGGUUCUGCUGAUAGUAUGGAAAAUGGUCGCCCACUUGGGAAAGGCCAUAACGGAUUAGCCAAUGUGCUCUAGGCAAUGCAUACAUACUGGAGACUUUUGAGGAAGAAGAAUUUACAAGGGCCUUGAAUGGAAGAUAUUUGAAAAGAUACUACCCUAGUAUAUGUGUAGGCGCUUAGCCGAUGAUGUGGCAUAACGGGCUUUCACGGUCGACGCGUACUGAUUCGUGUUCAUAUAGCCGAUGCAAGGGGCAUCGCCUUAAGAUUGAAAGAGGCGAAAUAGUGUAUAUAUAACUAAACCGAUCAUUAUUCGGUACACCAACUAAAUAUAUGGCCGGCAUGAUACAAGUCGCCCUUAGAUAAAAAGUACCGACACAGUUAUGGGUUACAACGAUUUAACAACGUUUCAUGUGAGCUUUAUUCAUAUCGAUUUCUUUCUGAAGUCGAUCCAAUUCGAUCUGGAGUCGGGCGUUCUUCUCCUCUAGUUCUGCCAUGUCAUCUUCAACAGCAACUUGACAGGGUAACAGAUGGCUUCUUUCGACUGAUUGCCGUGGUUGCCUUCUAGAAGCUUUAGCCUCGAUGUCAUCCACAAUCCUCUUGAUAUUCACGGGGAGGUGAUCUCUGAGUUCCUCACGAUGAGUUUGGAUCAGGUCUUUGUCAGCCUGAGUGAGCGGUUCAUCGGAGUGGAGGAUCUCAAUGGCUCGUUCAAGAUCACGGCUGAGUCGGUUUGGCUACGAGAAGAAUUGAUGAUCAAUUGACAGAGGGAUUGGUCGAGAGAUAGGAGAUUGACUUCGUACCUGAUUGACAGAGGAGGAGGAGGCCAUCUUGGUCGCUCGAUCGAAGAUUUGUAAGCGCGCGCAAGGAAUGGUUGAGUGGGUGUUUUGCGAAUGCCUUCAGAAGGGAUGCGAAGGGUUUGUACUUAUAGAACAGAAUGGCAAUGGACAAAGGUCGGUAAAAGGAGGGCAUUUAAAGAAAGCGACCGUUGAGUCAUAAAAGCUACGUGAGGACUGUUCAGACUUGCAUUUCAGACAAAAACGCCAAAAGUAUCAACGUUACACAAGAUGUUCAAAGGCUGGUUGAGUUCGUUACAACUAUCCGAGGAGAUUGUUUAUGGUCUCAAUCGCUCGCAGGCGAACUUGGUUGGCCACCUCCAACACUCGCCGAUCAUCAUCGGCUGAUCCUAAGACUUCUGGCGCAUUGCGAUGAAGAUGGAUGGCCUCGUGAGUGAGGGAUUGUCUUUCUUGUUUAAAAUCAACGAUGGCGGUUGGAAGAUCUUCAAGUUUCUUUUCUUCGGUAGCGAUAGCCUUUACGACCAGUUCCAUCUCCUUGGUGAGCUCUGCUCUGCGCCAUUUGAGUUGGUCUAUUUCACUGAUGAUGCUUGGAUGAGAAGUCUCAUGGAGACCGAUCUACCGAUGUACGUGUUGUGCACGGUGCUUGUAGGACUCUUCUUCUUGACGCACCAUCUCCAAUUUAGCACGGUCAGCCAUGUGUCGCAAGGCUCUAAACACCGGGACCCGCAUGGUUUCGAUAUAUGCUGCGGGUGUGAGAACCUCUUCUGCGUCUUCUGGGACUUGGCCUUUGAUCUCGUUGAAAAUCCACCGUAUCAGUUUGGCAUCUUCCACCAAUCGACCGAUGUUUUCCUGAAGAAGGGUUCGCAUGUUUUGGAGCUUGGCACGGACAUCUUCUGGUAUUGAGCUCAGAGUUAUUUGGCGUGAUGCAACUUCUUCGUCAUCAGAGACCGCAAUUGCAGAGGAGAAGAGGCUUUUGUUUGGCGUGUCUUACUCCUGCAGGGAUGUGGGAAAGUGUUUUAGCCGAUAAAAGUAAAAAAUCGGCUGGUAGAUAUAGAAGGUUCUUACCUCCUUCAAACAAAUCUCUUCUGCUUGGGUUGGCAGAGUCGUUACUCCCACCUCAGAAGUUUGCGGAGGUAGCUCAUUAGAGGGGGAAGACUUGACAAUGAUCGGCUCUCUAGGCGUAGCUGAUAAUGUGCUUGGACCAGCCUCCUGGAAAAGGAACAAAGGAAUCAUUUUUGAGUAUAAAAUAAUACUGGAUCUAAGUAGAAGUCUCGGUUUUCUUACCUCUCGGACGCGCGCAGCCAACGGUAGCACCAGGGGAAUGACUGACGUAUCUGGAGCGUCCUGUGUCAAGAAUCGUCUGAUUUUAGUUAUCAGAACUGUGGAGACUAAGGGAAGAGCAUGUUCUUUACCUCAAUUUGAAGAUUUGUAGGUAACACAAUUUUAGCUUGAGAAUCGGCCAAUUAAGGAACAGUCUGCUCUAGGAUAGGUUGUACGGCCUGUUGAAAAGAAACAAAUUUAGUAUUGGUGAUACAUAUGAAGAAGUCAGAGCAGAAAGAUUACUCGUGUAGCUUUCACCAAGAGUAACACAAUCGCCGACCCAGCCUCUGAUGCUGCUAGGGGAUCAAUGUCCUGAAUUGCCGACAAUACAUCUGCUUGGAUUGGUGCGGCUGAGGGCUCGACCGAUGUUGCUGCCGAUUGGUGGGUUGUUCGAGUUGUCGUAGAUUCAGUACGAGCUCAUACCCUGCGACUCGUCUUCUUUGUGGUGGAUAUUUUGAGCUUAUGCUUCAAUCGGUUGGUGGCUAUGUCCUCCAUUGAUGGGGCGUGAUAGCCGAUGAGAGGGUACGGUGUGUACGGAUGAUGGGUCUGUAUCAGUCUGCCACUCUAACUGUGCGUUGGAGGCACUUGGCUAUCAACCUGUGCAGGGUAAAAGGAUAAUGAUAAGAAAGUUCUGCAACAUGUGAAAAUUAUUGGUAAGGAAUCGACAAAAAAGUAUUGUUACCUCUGCAUUCGGAUCAGUGUGAGCGGGGUCCAGUUGAUUGCAAUACACUGCAGGGGCCGCACAGGAAAGGUACUGUUUCCACUCGGCCCACCACAAUUUGAAUUGUUGAGUGGAGAAGGGGACCACCAGCCAAGCGCUCAGAUCGAUGGUGUCGGAAUCCGGUGUCAGAUUACACAAUCUGUUGUAUUCCAGUCCUUUUGAAAUCGGUUCUCAAAAUUUCACUCGGCCGACGAAGUGAAUCCGAUUGGUAUUUGUCCCAAGCCAAAUUGCCGAGCUGCUACCGACGGGUUAUAGAACUCAUAUGUUGGAGAGUCCUUGCCAGAGAAGAAAUUUGCCGGUAGAAUCCCAGGUUGAUCAGGGUGUCCAUGAUUCCUUCAUCGAAGGUAUCGGUAGCCUAGUCAAAACAGUCAGGAUUCUAAAAAGUUGGGUUCUCUCUCUGAUAUGGAUACCAAUUCGUCACCUCUUCUUUAAAGCUGUUGUAAAAGCAUCUAAAGUGCUCGGCUAUUCUUGAGGGGGCAAGCUUGCCGCCUGGGAAAGUGGAUACGGCUUCACUAAAGGAAGUACAGCGGCGUCUGGCCAAUGGGUCGGUUUCUGAUUUAACAUUAGGAAAGUCUUGGUCUCAAUCCGCUCCUUGAAGAUUUCGCUCAUAUAUAAGUUGAGCUAGAGAUUGACAAACCACCAAGGACCACCAGGAUUCCUGAUAGGUUCUCCAGAUGAUAGCUUCACGCCGAUGUGAUGCAGCAUGUAAUACACUGACCCUAGUAGAUGCUUUCCCAAAGGGACUGUGGCUCCUCUAACUAGUGCUUCGGCCAAAGCCUGUGUGUUGGAAGUAGGACUGGCUAAUUUACCACAGAAGACAUACCUUUCCUGCCACAUCAUCAAGAAGGUCGUGUGCUCUUUUUCUGUGUUGGGUCCGGUCCUCAUGUUCUUCUCAAUGUAGCCUUUCCAUGUGCUGAUGGCUUUCGUCUCCAGCCGAUGGGUGGGUUUGAUUAAGAAAUCGAAAGGUGAGUCGGUGGAGGAAACAUCGAGGCCAGUCAGCAUCAGAACAUCGGCCAGGGUUGGAGUCAUUGGCCCAUGGUCGAAAAGAAAUGCAUUGAGAGCAUCGGACCAAAAGUAAGAUGCCGCGAUGAGCAGAGAUUCUUUCUUUUCCAUAUGAGAUAGAGAUAAAUUUCUGCAAUGGCCGAUUUUUCGCUCAUCCCAGAAGACUCUGUUGGAAUUUGACAUUCUAAAAAACCAAUCUCUCCAUCCGGGGGUUUGAUUCGGCCAAGACUUGAAAGUGUUCGCCCAAUUGUCUAGUUCCAUGGUCGAUUGCUUAAAAGGGAUCCUGUGAGUUUCUAGUUUAAUCAGAUCGGUUGGGUUAGGAUCUCCCAUAGAGCCAAGAUCGAUGAAUCCAGGGGUGUUGGCCAUGGGAUGGUGAUUCUUUGCCUGAGUUCUUGAGCAAAUGCGAAGAAAGACUAAGAACAGAUCUAAAAUCGCGAAAAGAUGAGGAGAGCCUAGAAGACUUACCUCAGGAACGAAGGUCAUGGUAGCUAUGGGUGCCACCAUUGGAGCUUGGGAGUUGGUGCGGUCGGUGAAGGACGUGAGCAAGUCACUGGAGUGCGCUGGGAUGUGCCUAGAAGUGGCACGAGCAAGGUCGCUGGGGUGUGCCGGGAGAUGAUUCGCUGGAAAGGAAACCCUUUUCGCCCGGAGGAAGAUGAAGCGGCGGAAGAGAUGAGUAUCUGCACGAUGACUCGGGAGAAGGGUAAAUAUGAAAUUUUUACCACGCCGUCUGCGCUAAUUUCGAAAGGAGCGGUUGCCUACAGGUGCUCAGUUCGAAAAAAUGCAAUCAUCAAGGAGAAGAUUUCGGGAGCAAAGAGGGUUUUGCUGCAUUUAUUGUUGCGUCUUUUCUGAAAGAAGGAAUCAGAGUUGAGAAAAUUUCGGAGAAAAAGAUAUGUUUCACUAUGAAGCUGGGAGGCAUGUGUUGAUGCCAGUUUUUAACACGUGUCAGGGUCGGUGUCAAGAGGAGAAGAAAGUGGCCAAUGCGGUUAAACAAGAGGCCAUGGCUAGAGAAAUCGGUCAGUAAAGCUAUAGUGUUCUGACCGAUUAGCUGAUGAGAUAGAUGAAGACUCACCGAUUGGAAGCCAGAACGCUGGAUUUUGACACGUACUUGAAAUCGGUGUCAAAGAAGGAGAAAGGGGGGCCGAUGCGGCGGACUAGAAGCUACAGUUGGGAAUCGGCCGAUUGAAGCUACAAUGUUUCAGCCGAUUGGCGGAAGAAAUUGGUGGAGGCUGGCCGAUUGGGAGUCAAAGCAGUUUGGCCGGUUUGGGCCUAAGGUGGGCCAGGAUGAAUAUUUGCUGAAGAGACAGGCCCGUGGGAAAAUAAUAACCAACUCGAAUACGAGUCGUGUUUGUAACUAUUUGUUGUCGUUUGAAAUUAGAGAUAGAUUCUAGUCGGUUAGGAAAUCAGUUCCAACACGCUAUAACUAGCUACCUCGAGAGGCUUGUAAAAAAAACAACACAUCAAUCAAUACAAAAAAAAUUACUCUUUCCUCGUACUUUACUUUCAAGUCGGCGACUUCGCCAAAACCUUUUUCUUUCACGAGUUCGUACGGAUUGGCAGGGCUGGAUCUACAGGAUCUCCGGCCGAUUCUGUAAGUUCCACUUAUCGAGUAAUACUAAGCUUUAACUUCGGGCGCAUCGCUGUUAUUUUGUUUAGAUUUAUUCACCAGUUAUCGAUAUCAACUAGAGUCAUAGGUUUUACCUGUUAUUUUAGUUUUUAUCACCAAUUAUCCAUCUUGAGGUACGAACUGUCGGUUUUUAUUAUUCUUAUCCUUUAUCAUCACAUAGCCGAUUAGAUCUACUCCAAGUUUUGCUUCUGUAGUGUUGUUUAGGUUGCUGUAAAAGUUUUCCUUAUGAUUGCUACAUGAGUAUCGGCUGUCUUAUAGCCGGUCAUCUCUACGGUAAAUCGGCCGAUUCGCUGAUACGCUCUUCAAGACAGAUCGGAACUCUAGCCGAUCGAAACCCCUAGAAUUUAAUAUUCUUCUUUCCAUGUCAAUCAUUAGGUCAGAUUGACUGGCAUGCCGCGCGAACCGCACUAGGGCAAUAACUCGAACAGGAGCUAAGUAGAUUCUCCUGGGUCGUGUGUCCGACGCUGAGGGUCAUCGGCCAAUUUUCAGCACCAACACACUUUUGGCAUGCCCGGUGGGACCAAACAAGAUCCAACAUGUCGAAGGCUGCUGAGAUCUUUGAAGAUAACGUCCUUGAAGUCAUUGAAGAAAAUCUCAAGGACGAUCAGAAGGAGGAACUGGCGAGGGCUAUAGAAGAAUACAGGAAGACAUGCCUGCAAUCUUUCAUUCGUACCAGAAGCGGGGAGACAGUCAAGAAAGCUCCUCUCUCCACUUCCCGCCAAAUCACCGUCAUCGAGGACUCAGGGAAGAUGUCUGAGAUGAUUCAACAGUCCGUUUAUCAGGCUAUGAUUGACCAAUCCACGGUGAUGACCAACACUGUAUACAACGCCAUCAUCAGCUCCUUGGUUAGCGGCGUAGCUCAGGGGUAUCAGGGACUAGCGUAUGCUCCUCCCAUCGUGGCACCGAUCAGAGGCUUCUUAGCAGCGCCAAACGUGUGUCACUCGACUCCUCAACUAAUGCAGAUGCAACGUGGAGGGUACUACACUUCAAUGCCCCUGGGGUACAAUGGUGCAUCAUUCUAUCAAUCGCAAGAACCGUCUCAUCCUAUGCCAAUUUCAUCCAUACAAUCGCCGCUCUCAAACUCGGCGCCAUGGGGGGUAGCAGCAGCAACCGCCGGUCUGGAUCCGUCAACCAGUUAUGGAAAGUCUCCAGUCCAGGCGUUAUUCCAAUCGGCCGAGGCCGAUAGCCCCGCAAUACCAAACAACCACUUCAGAUAUCGGCAGGAGGACAGGCGCUCUAGAAACACUCAGGGUUGCGGCGUCGAUAAUAUUGUACGAUGAAGUGACAGAUACACUAUGUCAGCAGCCAUCGGCUACUCAGCCGACAACCCAGCCACAAUAUCUGCAGAACACUCCAGUUUAUCACCCGAUCAUGGAACCGCAAAUCCAACAGCACGUACCGAUUCCUCAGCCGGUCGUGCAUCAGCAGCAGGUUGAUUGGACCGCGAAGAUAGCAGAGGUAAUUCAAGAUCAGUUUGUGUUAAAAGCAAAAGUACAAACUUACAUGUACAAGACGCCAUACCCACUUGCCUACGAUCUGUUACCGUUCCCUCAUCGGUACAAAGUCCUUGACUUCACCAAGUUCUCGGGCCUAGACGACACGUUGACUGUCGAGCACGUUAAUAGGUUCAUCAUCCAGUGCAGGGAGGCUGCUACGCAAGAUGCUUUGAUGGUGCGCUUGUUCUCGUCAUCCCUAUCCGGAUCAGCCUUGCAGUGGUUCACUACACUGCCGCCCAACGCCAUCGUUACCUUGGCCGAUUUGGAAAAGCAAUUCCAUAAGUACUUCUAUGCGGGAAUCCACGAGAUGAAACUCUCAGACCUAACUAGCCUCAAGCAAAGAAGCGAUGAGUCGAUGGCCAGCUACAUACAGAGGUUUAGGAAAGUUAGGAACAAGUGCUACACCUUGGUCUGGACUGACACCCAACUAGCCGAUAUCACCUUCCAAGGACUCCUGCCACACAUCAAAGAGAAGUACGCCUCCCAGGAGUUCGAAAGCUUGAGCCAAAUCGUCCAUCGGCUGUCCGGCCAAGAGAUACACCCUUUCGACCAACGAAGGAACUUUCAAAAGAAGGUAGCUUAUGUGGAAGGGUCUGAAUCGGGAGAGAAGGCGGAAAUCGGCCUAGCAGAGUCGGUAAAAGGAAAAAAGCCGAUAUCAUGCCCGUUUGGAAAAAAGGAACCAGAAACAUUCGGCUUUGACACGUCAAAAGCCGACAAAGUCUUCGACUUGCUGCUUCAAGAGGGGCAGAUCAAACUUUCGCCUUACCACACCAUUCCGUCGGCCAAGCAGCUCAAAAAGAUGAAAUACUGCAAAUGGCACAAUACCACAUCCCAAGACAAAAAUGAGUGCAAGAUCUUCCGACAAUAGAUACAAUUAGCCAUUGAGCAAGGAAGACUCAAGUUCGAGGUUCCAGCAAAACCAGUGAAGCCGAUGAAGAUUGAUCAACAUCCCUUCCCCGCCAACAUGGUCAAUGUAGGAAGAAACGCACUCCAAACCAAAGUUUUGAUGUUAGAAUUGGCCAGGAGAAGCGGUGCAGUGGAUCCCAAAAAUCAGGCCACGAUCGGAGAUGUCAAAGGAAAAGGACGGAUGGAAGAAGAAGGUGAAGGAUCAGAAAGGCCACGUCGGCCUGUCACUUCCCAAGACUUACUCAGCAAGUAUCAGCAGCAGCGGGAAGAUUCAAGACGCCACGAAGAGAUGAUGCGCCGACACGAAGAUCACUGGAGGUGCCCGUUUUUCAUCCACUGCUGGGAGAAUAACCUUAGAUUACCGUCGGCUGAUAAUUGCCCUGAGUGCAACGGCCAGUAUCGCAGUGGUCGUCCGUUCAAUAGAUCACGCUCCAAGGAUCGAGGGCUAGAGCCAAUCAGCAGAAAGAGGCACGAGCAAGGAGAUCGGCGCGUUUCAGUGCGUGAUCGGCUGGGGGGUAGAGUUGACCAGCAUAAUCGGCUGGGGGGCAGAACCAGCGCACAUGAUCGGCUGGGGGGUAGAACCAGCGCACAUGAUCGGCUGGAAGAGAUAGCUGACGCCAAAGUCUCAGAUGAGAACCUCCUAGGGUGAGAAUCAGGCUGGGAGCGUGCAAAGCCGCCGAGUAAACCAGUAAACCCCAGAUGGUGCCCAGCCGGUUUGACUAAGUCCUUGAAACGGAGGGUCCAGCGUUUGCACCAAUGGGAGCAGCAAGAAGAAAAACAAAGGUAGGUGAUGGAUAACAAAGGGGACAGGUCUCGAGUAUGGCGUCCUAGAAGAAAAUCCGACGCAGGAGACUAAAAUCAUGAUUCGACAGCUGACUUCAGCAUGAUGUUCAUCUUGCCGAUGGAGUUCAUGCCUCCCGCCGACCGGGACAAUGCGAUAGAGAUAGAGGAGCAAAUGGCACAAUUGGCUCUGGAGCCAAUGACCGCCACUUUUGAGAAACCCGAGGAUUAAAAACGCCAACAUCUCAAGGCCCUGUUCCUCAAAGGACAUGUCAACGGACGACCAGUCACCAAGCUGUUGGUAGAUGGAGGCGCUGCUGUGAACAUCAUGCCCUAUGCUAUGUUCCGCAAAUUGGGCAAAGGUAAAGAAGAUCUAACAAAGACGGAUAUAAUGCUCAAGGAUUUCGAAGGCAACGUAUCUCCGGCCCGAGGGGCACUCUGCGUCGACCUCACCAUCGGGAGUAAGGCCCUACCCACUAUUUUCUUUGUUAUUAAUGGCAAAGGCUCCUACAACAUGUUGCUCGAGCGAGAUUGGAUCCACGCAAACUGCUGCAUCCUGUCUACGAUGCACCAAUGCCUUGUCCAAUGUGUCGGCGACAACAUCGAAGUAGUCAUCGCCGAUUCCACCUAUAGCGUUGCCACGGCCGACGCACAACAGUGGAGCUACGAUCACGUCAAAUUCAAAUAUGGUAGGGUUUGGGACACCAAUUUCCUAAAGGUGUCCGAUUUCGGUCUACAGCCAAUCCAAGCAGUCAGCUCUAAAGAAUCAAGUUAAAAUGGAUCAGUUCAUCUGAGAAGAUGGGAAGCUCGGGCACGGGUUUACGUCGGCCGAUUCAUUGGAGAUGGUGGACCUUGGAGAUGGCAACAAGCCAAAGCCGACGUAUAUUCGUGCUAGGUUAGAACCCGAGUAUAAGCAUGAAUUAAUGAGUCUUUUACGAGAAUUUAAAGAUUGCUUUGCUUGGGAGUAUCAUGAGAUGCCUGGUCUAGACCGGUCCAUCGUCGAACACCGGUUGCCUAUAAAACCAGGGCAUUGGCCGCAUCAGCAACCUGCACGACGUUGUAAUCCUAAAAUUUUACCUGAUAUAAAGGCCGAGAUUACAAGAUUAAUUGAAGCAGGGUUUAUUCGGCAAUGUCGCUAUGCCGAGUGGAUUUCCAAUAUUGUGCCCGUAUACAAGAAAAAUGGAAAGUUACGUGUGUGCAUUGACUUCAGGAAUGUUAAUCAGGCUAUGUCGAUGGAUGGAUAUCCGAUGCCGAUGGCUGAUGUUUUAAUAGACGCCACCGCAGGACACAAAGUCAUCACCUUCAUGGAUGGUAAUGCUGGGUACAAUCAGAUAUUAAUAGUCGAAUAAGAUAUUUCAAAGACGGCUUUCAGAUGCCCAGGCCACCUCGGUUUGUUCGAGUGGGUAGUAAUGAGUUUCGGUUUAAAAAAUGCUGGAGCUACGUACCAACGGGCUAUGAAUUAUAUAUUCCACAAGCUUAUUUGUGUCCUGGUGGAGAUCUACAUUGACGAUGUCGUGGUCAAAUCAAAAGGGUAUCAGGAACACCUGGCCGAUUUGCGAAAAGUGUUGGAAUGCACAAGAAAGCAUGGGUUGAAGAUGAAUCCAAACAAAGUGUGCCUUCGGCGUUUCGGCUGGACAGUUUCUGGGAUUCAUGAUUCACGAGCGAGGCAUCGAGAUCAAGCGAAAAAUUAUAGUUGCUAUCAACAAAGUCGUGGGCCCCCAGAAUAAGACUGAGCUACAGUACUUAAUCAGCAAGGUUAACUUCAUCCGACGGUUCAUAUCUAACUUGUUCGGGCGUAUUCAAGCUUUCACCCCUUUGUUGAAAUUAAAACCCGAUCAAGAAUUUGUAUAGGGUAAGGAAUAGCAGAAAACAUUAGAUGGCAUCAAACAAUACCUAGUCUCGCCACCAGUAUUGGUUCCGCCGCAGGCCAACAAGCCAUUCAAAUUAUACCUAUUGGCUGAUGAACGAGCUAUUGGGUUGGCGCUGGUCCAGGAAUGUGAAGGAAAAUAAAGAGUAAUCUAUUAUGUCAACAGAAGACUCCUGAACGUUGAAACUAGAUAUCCUCCGGUGGAACGGCUGUGCCUUUGUCUAUAUUUUUCAUGCACCAAACUCAGGCACUAUCUGUUAUCGGCAGAGUGCAUAGUCGUUUGCAAAGAUGAUGUGGUCAAGUACAUGUUGUCAUUGCCGAUUUUGAAAGGGAGGAUUGGAAAGUGGAUUCUAGCUCUCUCAGAGUUCGACCUGAGGUACGAAUCGGCCAAAGCUGUCAAGGGGCAAGUAAUGGCCGAUUUCGUGAUCCAGCACUGUGGACCAGAAAUUACUGUCGAACCAGCUCCGUGGACACUAUACUUUGAUGGGUCUGCGUGUGGGGCCGGAUCGGGAAUCGGCAUCAUCCUCAUAUCGUCUCGAGGGGCAAGUUAUGAUUUCUCUCUGCCGUUUGAGGCGUCCGCUACUAAUAAUCAAGCGGAGUAUCGGGUUGUUCUAAAAGGUAUCCAAUUAUUAAGAGAGGUCAAAGCUGACGUGAUGGAAAUUUUUGAGGAUUCCAUGCUCAUUGUAGAUCAAUUAACUGGAAAGUCUGAAUGCAAGGAUGAUAUCUUGAGGAUUUACUACGAAGAUUGCCUCAAGUUAUUGAAGGAGUUCAAGUCUUUGAUUAUUGAGCAUAUUCCCAGGAAUUACAACGAAGAAGCCAAUAGACUUGCCCAACAUCCUUCCGGGUAUCGGCUGUGUUGACGCCAGAUUUUGACACGAGUAAAAUCGGCGUUAGAAGUGGAAGAAAUUAGGAGAUGCGGCGAGAUACAAGGGCAACGAUUGGAAAUCGGCCGAUUGGUGCUACAGUCAAGGAUCGGUUGGUUGGUGCUGCAGUCAAGGAUCGGCCAAUAGAUGCUACAGACGAGGAUCGGCCGAUUGAUCCUUAGAGUUCCGCCUCGCACGACCCCUGGUUUGGGAUCGGACACGCCCGACCCUCCAAGGGAGGAUCUCCGCCUCGCCCGACCCCUGGUUUGGGAUCGGACGCGCCCGACCCUCCAAGGGAGGAUCUCCGCCUCGCCCGACCCCUGAGGUUUGGGAUCGAACGCGCCCGACCCUCCAAAGGAGGAUCUCCGCCUCGUCCGACCUUAGUUCCCAGGGUCGAAAUGAGUCUGAGCCCUCGAUAUGUGGGUCCUGAUCGGUUACCCCCCUUGCCAAAGAGGUGAUCGGCCGAUUAGGAGGUUGGAAUAGUUGGGCCGAUGUGGGCUCAAGAAGGAUUAUGAAGAUGAAGAGGGGGUCAGCCCAUGAAGCGCGUGAAAAUAGUACGAAUCGUACUUGUAAAUAUUCGUUUUCUGUUUAAAUUUAGGGAUAGAGUUCUAGUCGGAUAAGAAGUCGUUUGUACGGGGCUAUAAAUAGCCACCGUUGUAGAUCUGUAAUCAUCAUCAACUCAAUACAACAAACUACUAUUUCCUCGUACUUACUUUCAAGCAGGCGACUUUACCAACACUUUUUCUCCUUUUUCACGAGUUCGUACGGGUUGGCGGGGCUGCAUCAACUUGACCUCCGGCCGAUCUUGUAAGUUCCGUUUAUCGACUAAAUUCUAAGCUUUAACUUCGGGCGCAUCGCUGUCAUUUCGUUUAGAUUUAUUCAUCAGUUAUCGAUAUUUACUAGAAUUCUAGGUUUUACCUGUUGUUCUAGUUUUAUCACCAAUUAUCCAGCUAGGAAUCGGUAAAUUCGGCUUUCUUUAUACUUCUCUGUCUAAUCUAUUUAUUUUAGCCGAUUAGAUCUGUUCCUAGUGUUGCUACUGUAGCGUUGUUUAGAUUACUCUAGCAGUUUUCUUUAUAAACGUUACCUGGUAAUCGGUUGCACUAUAGCCGAUUUCCUUAUUACGGCAAAUCGGCCGAUUCGCUGAUAAGCUUUCUUGAGAUCGGAACCUUAGCUGAUCGCAACCUCUGGGAACUGACACGUUUAUUUCCUUGCCAAUCAACAGUUCAGAUUGGCUGGCUCGCCGCGCGAACCGUACCAGGGCAAUCACCCGAACAGGAGUUAAGCAGAUUCUCCCGGGUCGUGUGUCCGACGCUGGGAAUUCGGUCAGCUGAUUUCUAGUGCCAACACACUUUUGGCACGCCUAGUGGGGCCAAUACAACCGCCACCAUGUCGAAAGCUGCUGAAGUCUCCGAAGAUAACAUCAUCGAAGUGACAGAGGCAGAUCUCAGGGACGACCAGAAGGAAGAACUAGAGAGGCAGACAGCAUACUACCGGAAGACAUGUCUGCAGUCCUUCAGUCGCACCAGGAGCGAGGAGACUAUCAAAAAGGCUCCGUUUCCAACUCCCCGCCAGAUCACAAUCACCGAGGAUUCGGACAAGAUGUCCGAGAUGGUCCAGCAAUCCGUCUAUCAAGCUUUCAUUGAUCAAUCCCCGGUGCUUUCUAAUACGGUAUACAAUGCCGUCAUCAGCUCCUUGGCUAGUGGUGUAUCUCAAGGGUACCAGGGGCCGGCAUAUGUUCCGCUGAUUAUGGCUCCGAGCAAUGCGGCGACAUGAAGAUCACUGGCGAUGCCCGUUCUUCAUCCACUGUUGGGAAAGCAACCUUAGGUUGCCUUCGGCCGAUAAUUGCCCCGAGUGCAACGGCCCGUAUCGUAACAAUCGGCCGUUCAGCAGGUCUCGCUCCAGAGAUGGGAGAUCAGAGCCGAUCAGCAGGAACUGGCGCGACCAAGACAACCGGCGCCCUCCAGUACGUGAUCGGCUGGGGGGCAGAAGUGACCGGUAUGACCGGUCGGAAGGCAGGCGCAAUGAUGGGCCGGGGGCAGAUUUAAUCGACGUGACCGGCCAGAAAAUAGAGUCAGCGUCCACAGACGACUUGAAUAGAUGGCCGAUGCUCGGGUGUUAGAUGAGAACCCUUUAGGACGCGAACUAGAAUGGGAACGCGCCAGGCCACGAACCAAACCGGUGAACCCCAGGUGGUGCCCCGAUGGAUUGACCAAGUCUCAAAAACGAAGAAUCCAACGUCUCCGCCAGUGGGAACAGCAGGAAGAAGAGCAACAGUACACGACGGACGAGAAGAAAGGCAGGUCUUAGGUAUGGCGCCCCAAAAGAAACGACAGAGGAGGCGACAAAUCAGCAGGCGAUGAAUCGGCAGCCGAUAUCGACAUGGUCUUCAUACUGCCGAUGGAAUUCAUGACUCCUGCCGACCAACAGGACAUGUCAGCAAUAGAAGAGUAGAUGGCGCAAUUGGCUUUGGAGCCAAUGACAGCCACAUUCGAGAAGCCCGAAGAAGACAAACGGCAACACCUGAAAGCGUUGUUUCUUAAAGGGCAUGUCAACGGCCGACCCAUCACCAGAUUACUGGUAGACAGAGGGGCUGCAGUCAACAUCAUGCCGUACGCCAUGUUCCGGAAGCUAGGGAAGAGCAAUGAUGACCUGACCAAGACAGACAUGAUGCUCAAGGACUUCGAGGGCAACGUAUCCCCCGCUCACGGCGCUCUCUGCGUCGACCUCACCAUCGGCAGUAAGACCCUUCCUACUACUUUCUUUAUUAUUAAUGGCAAGGGGUCCUACAACAUGCUACUCGGCCGAGACUGGAUACAUGCAAAUUGCUGUAUCCCAUCUACAAUGCAUCAAUGCCUCGUAUAGUGGGUCGGCGACAACAUUGAGGUGGUCACCGCCGAUUCCGCAUACAGCAUCGCGGCAGCCGACACGCAACAGUGGAGCUGCGAAACCGUCAAGUGCAUAUCCGGGAGAGUAUGGGAUACUGACUUCUUGAAGGUGUCCGAUUUUGGCCUACAGCCGAUCCGAGCAGUCGGCUCUGAGGACUCAGAUUAAAUGGAUCAGUUCACCCGAGAAGAUGGGAAGCUGGGACAUGGGUUCACGUCGGCCGAUUCAUUAGAAAUGAUAGACUUAGGCGAUGGCACCAUACCAAGGCCGACAUAUAUUAGUGCAAAUUUAGAUCCGGAAUACAAAUGUAAACUGACAAGUUUGUUAAGAGAACUUAAGGAUUGCUUUGCUUGGGAAUAUCAUGAGAUGCCCGGAUUAGACCGAUCUAUCGUUGAACAUCGGUUACCCAUAAAGCCAGGGUAUCGGCCGUAUCAACAGCCUGCACGGCGGUGCAAUCCUAAAAUCCUACCGGACAUAAAGGCCAAAAUAACGCGGCUAAUCAAAGCAAAAUUUAUUCGGCAAUGCCGUUAUGCCGAAUGGAUCUCCAACAUUGUACCAGUAUAUAAGAAGAACGGAAAGUUACGCGUAUGCGUCGAUUUCAGGAACCUCAAUCAGGCCACACCAAUGGACGGAUACCCCAUGCCGACGGCUGAUGUACUGAUAGAUGCCGCCGCGGGACACAAGGUUAUUAGUUUCAUGGAUGGAAACGCUGGGUACAAUCAGAUACUUAUGGCCGAAGAAGACAUAUCUAAAACGGCCUUCAGAUGCCCGGGUCACCUUGGUUUAUUCGAGUGGGUGGUAAUGACUUUCGGCUUGAAAAAUGUCGGCGCUACGUAUCAGAGAGUCAUGAACUACAUAUUCCACAAACUUAUCGGCAUACUAGUAGAAAUCUACAUCGACGACGUCGUAGUCAAGUCAAAAGGACACCAGGAGCAUCUGGCCGAUUUACGACAGGUGUUGGAAUGCACUAAGAAACAUGGGCUGAAGAUGAACCCGAAUAAGUGUGCCUUCGGCGUAUCCGCCGGACAAUUCUUAGGAUUCAUGGUGCACGAGCGGGGAAUAGAAAUCAAUCAGAAGACUAUAGCGGCCAUCAACAAAAUUGUGGCCCCGCAGAAUAAAACUGAGCUGCAAUCUCUAAUCGACAAGAUGAAUUUCAUCAGGAGGUUCAUAUCUAAUUUGUCUGGGCGAAUCCAAGCCUUCACACCAUUAUUAAAGUUGAAGCCCGACCAGGAGUUCGUAUGGGGGGAAGAGCAACGCAAGGCAUUGGAAGAUAUCAAGCAGUACUUGGUCUCACCACCGGUAUUGGUCCCUCCUCAAACUGGUAAGCCGUUUAAACUAUAUUUAUCAGCCGAUGAACGAGCUAUUGGGUCGGCUCUGGUCCAGGAGUUCGAGGGAAAGGAACGAGUAAUUUAUUAUGUCAGUAGAAGACUUCUGGACGCCGAAACAAGGUAUCCUCCAGUGGAGCGGUUGUGCCUAUGCCUUUACUUCUCAUGUACCAAACUCAGGCACUAUUUGCUAUCAGCGGAAUGUGUGGUCGUAUGCAAGGACGACGUGGUAAAAUACAUGCUGUCACUGCCGAUUUUGAAAGGAUGGAUCGAAAAAUGGAUCUUGGCUUUGUCGGAGUUUGACCUUCGAUAUGAAUCGGCAAAAGCCGUUAAGGGUCAGGUCAUGGCCGAUUUCGUUGCCCAGCACUGCGGGCCAGAGGCUACCUUCGUAGAACCAGUACCUUGGACCUUAUACUUUGAUGGAUCGUCAUGUGGGGCCGGAUCAGGAAUCGGCAUCGUCCUCAUAUCGCCUCGGGGGGCAAGCUAUGAUUUCUCUCUACCGAUAGAAGCAUCCACCACUAACAAUCAAGCAGAGUACUGAGCUGUACUGAAGGGAUUACAAUUGCUAAGGGAAGUCAAAGCUGAUUCCGUCGAAAUUUUUGGGGAUUCCAUGCUUAUCGUGGAUCAGUUAACAGGGAAAUCCGAGUGCAAGGACGAUGUAUUGAGGAUUUAUUACGAAGAUUGCCUCCUGCUUCUGAAAGAAUUCAAGUCGGCAGUUAUCGAGCACAUCCCAAGGAAUCACAACGAGGAUGCCAACAAGCUCGCCCAACACGCAUCUGGGUAUCGGCCGAUUCAAGGCGCCUUGGCUCUAGAGCUCGCGGCCAAUGACUGGCGAAAGGAGAUUGCCGAUUACCUGAAAGAUCCGUCUAAGAAAGUGGAUCGGCGGGUAUGUUUUCAUGCUACCAAAUAUGUGCUACUGGAAGACGACUUGUUCUACCGAACAAUUGAUGGCGUCCUACUCAAGUGUCUAGGAACGGAGGAGGCUAAGACUCUGAUGGGAGAAAUCCAUGAAGGAGUGUGUGGAGCCCACCAAUCGGCACAUAAGAUGAAAUGGAUGAUUAGGAAUAAUGGGUAUUACUGGCCGACGAUCCUCGAAGAUUGCUUCAAAUAUUAUAAAGGAUGUCAGGAUUGUCAGAAAUUCGGGAAUGUCCAACGUGCGCCCGCAUCGGCCAUGAAUCCCAUUAUCAAACCAUGGCCGUUCAGAGGUUGGGGGAUAGACCUCAUCGGCCAAAUUUAUCCUCCGUCAAGCAAAGGGCACAAGUUCAUUCUGGUGGCCACUGAUUAUUUCACCAAGUGGGUGGAGGCAAUUCCGUUAAGGGCCGUGACAUCGGCUGCUAUGGUUGACUUCGUAAGAGACCAUAUCGUCUACCGUUUCGGCAUCCCCCAGACUAUCACGACCGAUCAAGGGACAAUGUUUACAUCAGGAGAAUUCGAGGAGUUCACAGCCGACAUGGGAAUCAAAUUAUUAAACUCCUCUCCGUAUUAUGCCCAAGCUAAUGGCCAGGUCGAAUCUUCCAACAAGGGGAUAAUUAAGUUAAUCAAGAGGAAGAUAGAGGAGCAGCCGAAAAAGUGGCAUCUAUGUCUGACUGAAGCUCUAUGGGCAUACAGGAUGGCUUGCCAUGGGGCCACUAAGAUGUCCCCUUAUCAGUUGGUGUACGGUCACGAGGCAGUACUACCAUGGGAGUUGAGGGCAGGAUCGAGACGCACUUCGCUCCAGGACCAGUUAGCGGCCGACGACUACUCCUCACUCAUGAAAAGGGAACUUGAUGACUUGGCUGGCCAACGAUUGAGAGCUUUGAUAAGCAUCAAAGAAAACAAGAAGAAAGUGGCCAGGUGGUAUGAUAAGAAAGUCAAAGUCAAACAAUUCUCUCCGGGGGACCUGGUAUGGAAGUUAGUGUUGCCGAUCGGGUCGAAAGAUCCUAAAUUCGGUAAGUGGUCCCCUACGUGGGAAGAGCCGUAUAAAAUCGGCAGAUGUGCUCCAGGAAACGCUUAUAUUCUGGAAACAAUCGAAGGAGAGAAGAGUUUACUAGGGCUUUGAACGGAAGAUACUUGAAAAGGUACUACCCUAGUAUAUGGGUCGGAGCAUAAGGAUCGACCAUGAUGAACAACACACAGCCAAUACAAAAGGAUUCGUCUAGAGAAAAAAACGUAAUCGUCCAAAUCGGCCGAUGUAUUUCAUUCGGUACGGACGGUGGGUUACACGGCCGACAAGGUACAAGUUGCCCUUAGAACAAAAAAAAAUUAAUCACGCUUUUUCUUAAGCUCUCUCUCAGCCCGACCUAGUUCUAUCAGAAGACGGAUGUACUCUUCUUUUAUCUCUUUCAUCGAAGCCUCCGCUUCGACUUGACGGGGGAGAGGGUGACUCCGGUCCAUGGCCGGGCGUGAUGUUCCUACUGCUGCAUCUUCAAGGACGAUUUGAUGAGGAAGCGGAUGACUUCUGUCGGCUUGAGGUCGCCGGUGGUCGUUGCUGUCCAGAAAGUCCCAGAUCCAUCGGAUGUCGGCAGGGACGUGCUCUUGGAGUUCGUCGCGAUGAGCUCUGAUUAAAUCCUUAUCUUCUUGCGACAACGGUUCAUCGGAGUGUACAAGUCCGAUGGCUCGUUCGAGUUCGGGGCUAAGGCGCCGUGGCUGCGGAAAGCAACAAUAUACAUAUAGCUGCCGAAAAGGUGAUUCCCUUCAGAAGAGCUAAACUAAGAAAGAGAAUGAAGGCAAAUCUUUUACCUGAUUAACGGAGGAAGAGGUAGAGGAUGGAGAAGACAUGACUGAAAGGCGCACCGACGUGAACAGGUCGAGGAAGAUGAAGCCGAGUUAGAAAGGUACUCUCGGAACGGUCACCUAGGCCGGUGUUUAUAGGAAAGGAAGGCAUGGAUGUUUGGUAAGACGCGUCCCAUCGGGAGUGUGAAAGGUAAUAAAUAAGGGGGCGUCGCGAAGGACGGUCAAAGGGAUCAUUAAAUGUUCGUACAAGAACUGCCAGCACUUUUACAGGUCACCCAGAAGGGCAUCGAUAGCUGCGAUCGCUCGACGCCGGAUCUGAUCGGCAGAGUCCAGGACCCGUUGGUCAUCCUCUGCCGAUCCGGGGACUUCUAACAUAUGGCGGUGGAGUUUGAGGGCCUCGUGAGCCAGAUGCUGCCUCUCUCGUUUCAGAUCGGCAAUGACAGAAGGGAGUUCCUGAAGCCUCUUCUCUUCGGCGUCUAUUGCUUUGGUCACCUGCUCCAUCUCCUUGGCAAGCUCUGCCCUUCGGCGUUUGAGGCGAUCUAUCGUGCCGACGAUCCCCGGGCGAGAGUCUUCCAGAAAGUGAAUCCGUUGAUGCACCUCUUGAGCUUGACGCUUGUACGUGUCUUCUUCUUCACGAGUUUUGGUCAACUUGACGCGAUCGGCCAUGUGGCGCAGGGCCCUAAAGACUGGAAUCCUCAUUGACUCGAUAUAUGCAGCUGGCGCCAAGGCCUCUUCCGCUUCUUCUGGUACUCGCCCGCUGACGUCACCAAAAAGUUGUUGAAUCAGCGAAGCGUCUUCUACCAAUCGGCCGAUGUCCUCUUGAAGAAGGGAUCGGAUGCUUGCGAGUUUGGCACGGACGUCAUCAGGAACGGAGCUCAAAGUGACCUGGCGAGAGGCGACUUCCUCAUCAUCGGAGAGUGCGACCGCAAACGAGAAAAGGCUGUUGUUGGGGGUGUCCUGUUCCUGAAAAAUAGUGAGUCAAGAAGAAGAACAAAUCAGCCGAUGAUGAUAGCAAAUCGGCUGAGUAAGGGUGAGAAAUCUCUUACCUCCUUGAAACGGAUUUCUUCAAACUGCGUUUGGGAGGCUGUUAUCCUCGAUUCAGGGGCUGGUACCAUUGGUUCGUCAGAAGCUGAAGACUCCACCAUGAUUGGUGCUUUGCUCGGGCCAGCUUCCCGAAAGAUGACCAUUGGUUGGUUAGGUGGGGCGCUAAGCGUACCGGUGACCUGUGUCAAAAGAUUGAAUAAGAAUAUUAUCCAAAUACUAGAAAAAUCGGUUGAAGAGUAGUAUACCUCGGCAGACGGAAGCGUGGGCGUGUUGAUGACCGAUUGGGUUGCUGCCGAUUGUUGUGAGUCCACAGAAGUGAUUUGUGUAGUCUAAAAUAAGAUGAGUCAGUAUAGAGAUGGCAAUCGGUAGGAUCAAACAACAAGUUUACCUGCAUGGCCUCCACCAGUAAUGAUGCAGCGGCCGCCCCAGCUUGCGUGACGACUUGAGUAUCUACUUCUCCAGCAGCUGGAAGGGGCAAUGUGGCCGAAGUUUCUGCCGAUGUGAUCGUAGGAGGGUCGGCCGGUUCUGUACGAGCUCGCACUCGGCGACUGGUCUUCUUGGUAACCUUCUUCUGCGCCUGCUUCGAUCGGCCGGCAAUCACAUCCACGGAAGGGGCAUCGUAGCCGAUAAGGGGGAAGAUGGUGUAUAGGUGAUGGUCCUCUAUCGGCCGGCCACUCCGACUGUGUGUUGGGGGAACGCAGUUUUCAGACUGAAGCAACAGCAAGAUGUUAGUGUACAUAUUUAACCGCAUUAAUAAAGGAAUGAAAAUCAGUUAGGGAAAAAAAAUACCUCGGUGUUCGGAUCGAUGUUGGCUGGAUCCAGGAGGUUGCAGUAUGUCGAUGCGGAGGCACAGAAUAGGUACUGUUUUCAUUCGGCCCACCAUAGCUUGAAUGGUUGGACAACAAAGGGGGCUACUAUCCAGUCAUUCAAGUCUAUGGUACUGGAGUCUGGUAUCCGGUCUCGCAGCCGACUAUAGUCAAGACCCUUGGUGAGCUCAUCUCUGAACUUUGCUCGGCCGACGAAGUAUGCCUGAAUCGGCAGUUGACCCAUGCCGAAUUGCCGAGCUGCAACGGAGGGAUUGUAGAAUUCAUAUGUAGGGGCAUCCUUUCCUGAGAAGAAGUUGGCCGGUAAGAUCCCCGGUUUAAUUAGUUCAUCUGUGAGAUCUUCGUCGAAUCAGCCGGUGGUUGAGUCGAAGCAAGAAGGGAGUUCAAAGAUUGGGUCAUCUCUCCAAUAAGGAAACCAGACGGUUGCAUCUUCAUUGAAGCCGUUAUAAAAACACUGGAAGUAUUCGGCCACCUUGGUAGCAGAGUACGAGCAACCAGAGAAGGCCGAUGCCGCUUCGCCGAAAGACAUACACCGGCGUCGGACAGUGAGAUUCUCUGCCGAUUCGACGCUGGGGAAUGUCAUGUGUUCCACUCGCUGCUGAGAGAUCUCGCUCAUGUACAAGUUCAGCCAUAAGUUAAUGAACCACCAGGGUCCACCUGGGUUUCCAAUUGGCUACCCUUGGGAUAGCUUGAUGCCGAUUUGGUGAAGCAUGUGGUAGGCUGCUCCCAGUAAGUGCUUUCCAAGAGGAACAGAAGUCCCUAUUGAUAAUGCUUCGGCCAGAGCUUGGGUAUUGGUAGAUGGACCAGCUGCUCUCCCACAGAAGAAGUGCUUCUCUAGCCACAUCAUCAGGAAGGCCGUGUGCUCUCUGUUGUCGACAGAUCCGGCCCUUUUGUUGCAUCUGAUGAAACCUUUCCACCUGCCGAUUCCCCUUGUGUCCAGCCGAUGUGAUGUUGCGGUUAUAAGGCGGAAAGGGGUGUCCGGGGAAGAAAUAUCCAGGCCGGUCAGGAAGACUACAUCGGCCAAUGUGGGGGUCAUGGGUCCGUGUCCAAACAGGAAUGCGUUGAGAGCAUUGGACCAGAAGUAAGAAGCUGCCACCACUAAUGGCUCAUUCCGUUCCAUUUGGGACAAAGAUAGAUCGAUGCAUUGGCCAAUUUUGAGCUCGUCCCAUUGGACCUUCUUGGAAGCGGUUAUCCGCUGGUACCAUUCCCUCCAACUGGGAGUUUCGUUCGGCCAAGACCUAAAGGUACUCAACCAGUGAUCUAGGUCCAUAGUUGAUUGUUUGAAGGGGAUCCUAUGGGUUUUCCAAAUUGAUUAAGUCGGUUGGAUCUGGAUUUCCCAUGGGUCCAAGACAGAUAAGGCCGAGGUUUUCUGUGAGACGAAUGGUGAUGCGAUGCCUAACCGCCUAAAAAGGAAAAGGGGGUGCGAGGGUAAGAAAUAGAUCUAAAGUACAUGCAUUACUAAUAAGGGAAAGUUUCGGUAAUGACCUCCGGGAUGAAGCUCCUCGUAAUCGGCGGAGUCGCCGGUGCAGCUGCAGACGAUGAAGCUGCCAAUGGGAUCUCGGAUGAAGCUUCAACUUUCGCCAAUGGAGCUCCUUCUUCCGUCGAUGGAGCCGUCGUUAUCGCUACUGGAACCUCCGCCGAAGGCACCAUUUCUGGAGCUUCGCGCAUUGGUGAGGUGCCUGAAGGUGCCGCCAUUGGAAAAGUAGGAGGCAAUGCGAAAGGAAGGAGGCGCUGGAGAAUUGGUGGACUAAGGAAAGUGUUGGAGGAAGAAGAAAGCCUGUGCACUGAAGAAGAUGGACAUGAGCUCGUAAGGAGUACGGGAUGUGCUGAUAUUUAAAGAACGUCUGAGAAGGGGUAAAAGUGGAAUUUUUACCGCGCUGGCGUUUUGAGUUUUUCGGGAGUAGUGGUUGUCGUGGGCACCCGUUUCGAAAAGAUUGCAAUCAUCAGGUUGGAGACCGCGAAAUGGAAGGAUGUUUUCAUUGCGUCUGUUUCGGAUGAGAAGUUGAAAAGAAUUUUGAAGUAAAGACUAUGUUUUACUCCGAAACUGGGAGGCAUGUGUUGACGCCAGAUUUUGACACGAGUAAAAUCGGCGUUAGAAAUGGAAUAAAUUAGGAGAUGCGGCGAGAUACAAGGGCGACGAUUGGAAAUCGGCCGAUUGGUGCUACAGUCAAGGAUCGGUUGGUUGGUGCUGCAGUCAAGGAUCGGCCAAUUGAUGCUACAGAUGAGGAUCGACCGAUUGAUCCUUGGAGUUCCGCCUCGCCCAACCCCUGGUUUGGGAUCGGACGCGCCCGACCCUCCAAGGGAGGAUCUCCGCCUCGCCCGACCCCUGGUUUGGGAUCGGACGCGCCCGACCCUCCAAGGGAGGAUCUCCGCCUCGCCCGACCCCUGAGGUUUGGGAUCGGACGCGCCCGACCCUCCAAAGGAGGAUCUCCGCCUCGUCCGACCUUAGUUCCCAGGGUCGAAAUGAGUCUGAGCCCUCGAUAUGUGGGUCCUGAUCGGUUACCCCCUUGCCAAAGAGGUGAUCGGCCGAUUAGGAGGUUGGAAUAGUUGGGCCGAUGUGGGCUCAAGAAGGAUUAUGAAGAUGAAGAGGGGGUCAGCCCAUGAAGCGCGUGAAAAUAGUACGAAUCGUACUUGUAAAUAUUCGUUUUCUGUUUAAAUUUAGGGAUAGAGUUCUAGUCGGAUAAGAAGUCGUUCGUACGGGGCUAUAAAUAGCCACCGUUGUAGAUCUGUAAUCAUCAUCAACUCAAUACAACAAACUACUAUUUCCUCGUACUUACUUUCAAGCAGGCGACUUUACCAACACUUUUUCUCCUUUUUCACGAGUUCAUACGGGUUGGCGGGGCUGCAUCAACUUGACCUCCGGCCGAUCUUGUAAGUUCCGUUUAUCGACUAAAUUCUAAGCUUUAACUUCGGGCGCAUCGCUGUCGUUUCGUUUAGAUUUAUUCAUCAGUUAUCGAUAUUUACUAGAAUUCUAGGUUUUACCUGUUGUUCUAGUUUUAUCACCAAUUAUCCAGCUAGGAAUCGGUAAAUUCGGCUUUCUUUAUACUUCUCUGUCUAAUCUAUUUAUUUUAGCCGAUUAGAUCUGUUCCUAGUGUUGCUACUGUAGCGUUGUUUAGAUUACUCUAGCAGUUUUCUUUAUAAACGUUACCUGGUAAUCGGUUGCACUAUAGCCGAUUUCCUUAUUACGGCAAAUCGGCCGAUUCGCUGAUAAGCUUUCUUGAGACCGGAACCUUAGCCGAUCGCAACCUCUGGGAACUGACAUGUUUAUUUCCUUGCCAAUCAACAGGUCAGAUUGGCUGGCACGCCGCGCGAACCGCACCAGGGCAAUCACCCGAACAGGAGUUAAGCAGAUUCUCCCGGGUCGUGUGUCCGACGCUGGAAAUUCGGUCAGCUGAUUUCUAGCGCCAACAGGCUCAUUUAUGUCGCCUGACACGCGAAUAUGCACUUUAACCAAGUCAACCUGGUCGACCGUCGGAUUUCAUCCGAUGAACCACUUACACAGGAUCAAGAAGCAUCGCUCAAACGAAGGUGAGUAGCACAGAGGUUACAACAUUCCAUUAUGACAACUUAGUUCCACAAUUUAUUACAUCAGAGUUUCAGAAAUUCAAACAAGUUGCAAGGUUCGAAAAGUCGGAUAAAACAAGCGAAAACUAAACGUCGAUACAGGAUAUCAUGACGAAGUUGAUCAUGACAUCAAAAAUCCCUACCCUCACCGUCCGAGGAGGGAUCCCACUCGAUUGUCCAGCCCGGAGGGAGCUGGGUAGGCCAAGUGGUGCCAGCAACCAAACUAUUGACAUGACCUGAAAAGAUUAAGCCAUAACAAGGCUGAGCAACUAAUACUCAGCAAGACUGACCCGUCGAGUGAAAAGCUUUACCAAGACCUAGACAUGCAAGGCUUUCUGGCUCUGGGAUUACUUUGCCAAAAGCAUCUACAGUCGGUCCUUACUUUCAAUAUUUUAGCUUAAGUUCUACGUUCUUUAACCAGUCUAGAUUAGCAACUUAUACUAAACAAGCAUAAUUUCCAAGUAGUUAAAUAACAAGCAUCAACUUAAUCUCAUAAUCAUGUUUCAUCGUUACUCAGUGCAGAAUAGCGAUCAAGUAGUCCCAAACUGUGAGAGACAGAUGAAUCGAUUCGAAUUUAUUAACCAUGCAUGGCGAACCUAAUCUCACGACAUCCGCGCACCACGAAGGGUCGCUUCAUUUGUCAGCCGUCCCCAUCGAUCCCUUAGGCACGUGUCAGGGCCAAACUGCCUUUGGCGUGCAAUGCUCCACAGUCCCGACCUCUGUCGUACUGUGACCGCCACUGCACCCACAUGAUGCACCAUGGGAACGACGUUCCAAGGACAGCAGGAGUAUAAGCCACGUCCCAGUUCAGUCAGGUACUAGGCUUCCCCAUCCCAGACUAGGUAUGAGAUUAGUACUUUCAAACACUUGAUCACGAACGCUGACACGUUUCAACCUUAGAUCAAUUUCCUUUAGACAGACGGGGAAAACCACCAAGUAUCGAACAUAAGCCCGACCCCGUCCGUCAUCCUUAUAGUUGCAACAUAAAUAAACAUUCAACUCCUAUAACUCGCGAGUGAUAGGAAAUCACUCGACUUUUACUGAAACCUAAUAAGCAUUGCAACUACUCGACUUUAGCAACUAGUAUUCAAACAAGGUACUAAGUUCAUGCAUCUACGGUUUCAAUCAACUCCUACACACGUAAAUGCGCAAACAUAAACAUCAACAUGUUGCAUAAAGUAAAACAGGGAAGUCAUGCACCGGGGCUUGCCGUCAGGAAGAGUUAGCGGGUCCUCGGGGUCUUGAUCCGGCUCAGGCUCGCCUUCCAAGUGGUGAAGCUCCGCAGCGGGGUCUUCCUCCGGUGUCGGGUGGAGCUCGUAGGUUCCAUCGGCGAGAUUUGCUUCUAUACGACAUGCAUAUGCAAAAGUUUAGUUGGACUCACGCGUUUAUUCAACGACACAAGGCUUGGCUUAAGACAAGGAGUUGCAACAGCCACAUUCACUUUGACGAGGUUCAACUUUCAUGCAACUUCAAACGAAUGUGGUCGGUUUAAACUUGAGUUCGAGUUGAAUGGCGAUUGUGUACAUAUAUAGUUUUCUUACACUUAGAGUUGCAUAAAGAGAAUGAAAGGUCGUGUUUGGGUGGUUUGGGUGCAUUAGGAUAGUUACUUACUUCUGAAUGUUUUUAUGUACCUCUUUCAAUUUCCACUUAUUUAUCGUAUUAGAAUUUGUGCUUUCCUUUUAUUCCUUUAGGUUGAUUAAUUAACCAAAAUGACUUCAUAUCCAAACAGCAGCUAAAGGCACUGAUAAAAUUACAACACCUCACUUAAGCCAUAGCUGGGUUACUCUAAAAUUUUGGGGGCCAUUGGAUGACUUAAAAAGGAAUUACAUGCAUUUUAUUAUUAAAGGUAAAAUGAGCUUAACUUUUUCUAUCUUCAAAGUUACUAUGCAACAGAGGGUGAAACUUAACCAGUGUGUUAAGGGUAUGUUACAGGAUCUUUGGCGAAUUUUUCAUAAUUUUUGAAGAAGGUUAACUAUUUACUCUAUUUCCUUUUUAAUUAAACAUGCUUAGCAAGGAAGGUGUUUUUUCUUUCCGAAUUGCACAACAAUUUACAUUUUUCCUGCAAACUUCACAGCAAAACAAAAUUAACCCAACUAGUUUCACAUUUUUUUGAGCUCUGGAUCAAAACGUAUGCAAAAAGGAAGAAUUAAUCUUAGAUUCCCAAAUUAAAGUCAAAACAAUGACUUAAAGUGCUAGACCAGAGCCCUAACCAUUUUUCUGAGCUUCUACACAUAGAAACAAGCAUCACAGAGUUGGUUUUACAUUUUUCCCACUUUUCUUCUAUUUAAUAGGAUUAAAAAGGCCUAAACCAUGAUUAAAAGCAUAUGAUAUUAUUUACAACAGUAACAUGAGCAAACUUAUUUUUCUUAGGAACUAGAUAGAGCAAGGAUUCCAACAAAAGUGGUUUGGUAUUUUUAUGAUUUUUCUACGAUUUACUGGGCAUUUACAAAGUUCAACCAUAUUUCUACCUAUUAUUUAAAAGAAAAGCCGUGGCAAACUUGCAGGUUAGCCCCUGGGUCUAUGGGUUAACUACGCAGAGGUCCCUGAGUUUUGCGCCCAGGCCCCUGGAAAGAAUGGGGAUGAUGCAAUGUAGUCCCCAGGGCGCGCGCGGCGGCGGCGAGGAAAUCCCCGGCGGUUCGUCGGCGGGGAUGGGGCAACAAGUGGUCGGAGGGGUGCGGGGGCUCACCUGAGCUCGGUUUGGUGGGGUUGGGGCGACGGAGAUGGUCGGUAGGGAUCAAAACACGGCGGCGGCGACAGAGCUUGGCUGGUGGCGGUGCAGGCGUCGUUCCGGCGCACUGGCGGCGUCGGGGAGGCCACGGGCUGCUCGGAGACGUGCGCGGAGGGGGGGCGAAGUGGGCGGCGAAGUUGCCGGAGUACGGGGUGGCGCGGAGGGGUGAGCUCCACGGGAGCUUAGCGGCGGCGCUGAGAAGGAAGCAGAGGCGUGGUUGCGAGCGGUGGCAAAGGGUGGCAUUGCCGGUGAGGGGGACCCUUUUAUAGGGCAGCGGUGGAGCGGAGGGUCGAGGUGGGGCUCCGGUGGAGGAAGGAUAAGGCCGGGAGCGGUGCGUGCGCGAGCGAGGCGGCCAUUGGCCAGCGGUGCCAUUGGGCAGGGGAGGCGGAGCUCCGGGUGGUCUCUGGCCGCGAUUGGCCUCGAGCGAUGCGUGUCUGAGGCCUCCGGUCUGUCGGCGGGCGAAGCGGAGGGCCACCGCGGGGGUUGGGCGAGCGGGCGGAGGCGCGGGACGUCGUUGGCGUGGUGGCUUCUCCAGCGGGUGGGCGAAGCGCGGUUGGGCAGAGCAGAGCCGCGGCAGAGGGAAGGGCACGCGCGCGGCCGACGGUUGGCCAGCCCGGCGUUCGCCCCGUCUUGUCGCAGGCGCGGGUUGGGCGCCGUGGCUCUCACCUUAUCGUUGUCUCGCCGGGGAUAGGGCGCCGGUGAGCUGCCGGUGGCCAGCGGCCACGAGGCACGCGGUGCGCGGGCGAACAUGCCCUGGCGCGCGGGCGUUGAGGCCCCUUCGGGCAGUAAGCCCGACCAGCUUUGAGAGAUCCUAUCUCAAGAUUUUGCAACACAACUUCCAAAACUCUUCUAAACAAACUUGUUCAACUCUGGACGUAGUUCAAACUUGGUUUAAGGUGCUGGUUUAGAUUGUGAAAGGAUUUGGAGAUAUCUCAUGCCAAAGUUUGCCAAAAAUAUGGAAAUCCAGACUUAGCCAAUUUUGGCCGGAGAGGUGGAAUUUCAGGAACUUAGCUAUGUUUGAGUCAACUUUAGGGCAGCUUCCAAGUUGAAUUAGACAGAAGUGUUAAUAGAGGAGUUGCUCUCCAAACUGAGGACUUCAACUUCUAUUUAGGGUAUUUCUGGAGUUUAGUUCAGAAAUUUGGAGGAACGCCCUCGCCAAGAGGUGCACUCUGAGCAGUUUUCCAGACUUAGCGUUGUGGUGCUCAGGGGCUGAGUUGACUGCUUUGCUCAACUUUGACCAAGAUUUUGAACAGGUUCUGGUUCGAUUUGGACCUGGGUCAUUGUAACAAACUUGGAAAACACUUGAGGUAUUACAACCUUUAUUAAGAGCCUGACUUGAGUUUAGAUAUGAAAUCGUGAGAUAAAGGCUUGCAAAGUUGGAGGAAAACUUGAAUUCCACGACUUGGAGGUUUAUAGGGUUCUUUAUUAUUCCGGUUUUGAUUCCUGUUUUUGACUUCCUCCCACUCCGAAUUAGCCAAAGUGACUUUAACAAAUAUUGUUUGAAAUUAAAAGUGUUACAACUCUUAUUUGGGCAAAAUUUUAAGUUUGUAUAUAAAAUCUCAAGUUUUAUUUUAAACUCCAUAAAGAGCUUCUUAGGGUUAAAAUGGUCAUUUCACUUCCUUUACUUAGUGAUUAACCACUGGUUUAUAUUUAAAGCACUUAAUUUAGGUAGAGUUGUUACAAGUAUCCACUCACUACUUUACCAAAUGGGUGCAGGCAGUCCCUCUGAAGACCGUGACGUUGGCCGUCAUGAUUGAAUUCAUAAGCGAGCACAUUAUCUAUUGGUUUGGUAUUCCUCAGACUGUUACGACCGAUCAGAGAACAAUGUUUACUUCAGGAGAGUUUGAGGAGUUCACUUCCGAUAUGGAAAUUAAGUUGUUAAAUUCUUCUCCAUAUUACGUUCAAGCUAAUGGUCAGACCGAAUCGUCCAAUAAAGGGAUAAUCAAGUGUAUCAAGAGGAAGGUAGAGGAGCAACCAAAGAGAUGGCACAUGACUUUAAGCGAGUCUUUGUGGGCCUACAGGAUGGCCUGCCACGGCGCUACUAAGGUGUCUCCUUAUCAAUUAGUGUAUGGAUAUGAGGCGGUGCUCCCUUAGGAAUUGAGGAUGGGGUCUAGACGCACGUCGAUUCAAGAUUAGUUGACAGCCGACGAUUAUUCUCUCCUUAUGAAAGGGGAGCUUGAGGAUUUGGUGGGUCAACGAUUGAGGGCCUUGAUCAGUAUUGAAGAGAAUAAGAAAAGACUUGCCAAGUGGUAUGACAAGAAGGUCAAGGUCAAGCAGUUCUCGCAAGGGGAUUUGGUAUGGAAAUUGGUAUUGCCGAUAGGGUCUAACCAUCCCAAAUACGGCUAGUGGUCGCCUACUUGGGAAGGGUCGUAUAAAUCGAUCGAUAUGUGCCAGGAAAUGCAUACGUAUUAGAGACCAUCGAGGGAGAGGAAUUUACAAGAGCCUUAAAUGGGAGAUAUUUGAAAAGAUACUAUCCCAGCAUAUGAGUGGACGCGUAGCCGAUGAUAUAGUGUAUCGAGUCGUUAUGGCCGAUUCCUAUUGACUCGUGUUUAUAUAGCCGAUGCAGGGAGGCAUCGCCUUGAGGACGAAACCUCUAAUCAAAUUGGCCGAUUAUUAUUCGGUACGGUGAUUGGAUACAUGGCCAACAUGGUACAAGUCGCCCUUAGACCAAAAGUACCAAUACAUCUAUCGGGUUACAAUAUGAUUAACUGCAUUUCAACUGGGCUUUGUUUUUAUUGAUCUCUCUUUGGACCCGGCCUAGUUCUAUUAAGAGACGGGUGCUCUUUUCCUCCCUAUCCGCCAUGGCAUCUUUGAGAGCGACCUGGCAGGGUAGCUGAUGACUCCUCUCAAUUGGCGGCUGAGGUGGCUCCCUGGAGCUGUUGGCUUCGAUGUGAUCCACGAUCUUCUUAAUGUGGGUCGGAAGAUGGUCUUUAAGCUCCUCACGGUGGGCUUUGAUCAGGUCUUGGUCCACCUGCAUCAGUGGUUCCUCAGAGUGCAUAAUUUCGAUAACUCGCUCAAGAUCAGGGCUGAGCCGGGUCGGCUGGACAAACAGCGGGCAAUCAGUUGUCGAAAAGAAUUGGUCAAGGAGCGCAAGGCUGAUCUCAUACCUCAUUGACGGGGGAAGAAGAAGACAUCUUGGCGCCCGGUUAGGGAUCUGAAAAUGGUCGAGCAGAGUGUAGAAGGAUGGAUGAGAUACGAGUGCCUCUGGGAGGAAUGUAGGGACCCCAUAUUUAUAGGAGAAAAGGUAAGGGGCAACGGUUGGCAAAGGCAUCUAUUCAAAGCAGAUGAAUGUUGAGCUAAAAGCUGCGAAGAGGAAACGUUCAAGUCCGUAUUCACACAAUGAUGGCAAAAGGGGCAUUAAAUGUUUGUGCAGAGGUGUUCAAAAGAUAAUUCAAUGUUUUGAUACAUUCAUUCAAGAAGAAUAUUAAUGGCCGCGAUUGCCUACUGGCGGAUCUGAUCCGCUGAAUCUAGAACUCGUUGGACAUCUUCGGCUGAUCCAAGAAUUUCUAGCAUGUUGCGAUGAAGCCGGAUGGCCUCAUGCGCAAGGGUUUGCCUCUCCUGCUUCAGAUCAGCGAUGACGGUCGUGAGAUCAUGAAGAUUAUUCUUUUUGGCGGUUAUAGCCUUUGUCACCUACUCCAUCUCCUUGGCAAUCUCUGCCCUAUGCUAUUUGAGACGGUCUAUUGUGCCGACGAUGUCUGGGCGAGAAUUUUCGAGUACGCCGAUUCGGUGAUGUACCUCUUGAGCUCGGUGUUUGUAGGAAUCCUUCUCUUCACAUGGCUUUGCCAGCUUGGCAUGAACGGCCAUGUGCCGCAGGGCUCUGAACACCGGGAUUUGCAUUGACUCGAUGUAUGUAGGAGGUGCAAGAGCUUUUUCUACAUCCUUCAGGACUCGGCCUUUUAUUUCGCUGAAGAUUUGCCAAAUCGGCGAAGCGUCUUCCACCAAUCGGCCGAUGUCAUCUUGAAGAAGUGCUCGGAUUCUCUGGAGCUUUGCACGUACUUCUUCCGAAAUUGAACCUGGAGCCACUUGUCGAGAGGCUACCUCUUCAUCAUCAGAAACAGCGAUCGCAAAUGAAAAGAGGCUGUUAUUGGGCGUAUCUUGUUCCUAUAAAAGUAAGAGAGGAAGGAACGGAUUAGCCGACAGUAGUGGGAAAUCGGUCGGAUUGGAUGUCGAAGGCCCUUACCUGUUUAAAAUGAAUUUUCUUCUGUUUGUGUUUGGGGGAUUGCUACCCUUGUCUCAGGAAUCAGCAUGGUUGGCUCGUCAGAAGAAGAAGACUCGACGGUGAUCGACGUUGUGUUUGGACCGGCUUCCUGAAAGUAACAAAAGGAGAGUCUCUAUAAGUAUGAAGCAAUAGUUAGAUCUAAGGAUGAGUACCAGUUACUUUACCUCUGUGAGUCGUCCGGCCGAUGACUGUUGGAAAGGUAUGAUUGAUGUACCCAGAGUGGCCUACAUUAGAAAUCGGUCAUUUUUGACUAAGGAAUAAGAGACUUGAGUAAGAUGUAUGUUCUUUACCUCAGCUGCAAGGAUUGCUGGUGGUUCGGUCUCUGCUUGGGAUGCGACCGAUUGCUGUGAGGUUUGCUCCGAAAGAAUUUGCGCAGCCUAACAAAAAGUGGAAAUUAAUACUGAUAGUAUACUUGGAGAAAUGUGAAGCAUAUAAAGUUACCUGAACAUCUUUUACCAAUAAGGAUGCAGCUGCUGAUCCGGCUUCCGUAGCGGCUUGGGGGUCGACCUCCUGGGCGAUCGGCAGAGUUGGUGUGGCUGAAGACUCGGCUGGUGGCACCGCCGAUUGAUCGGCCGGUUCUAUACGGGCGCGCACCCGGCGGCUUGUCUUCUUUGAAGAGGAUAUCUUCAUCUUCUGCUUCAAUCGGCCUGUGAUGAUAUCUUCGAUUGACGGGGACUGAAAGCCGAUGAUUGGAAAUGAAGUAUAUGGGUGGCGAUUCUCUAUCGGCCUGCCACUACAGUUGUGCGUUGGAGAGAGUUGGCUUUCAGACGACAAGAAAUGAGGGAAAUCAGUGGUAAUACUGUAAGAGUACGGUGUCAAAUCGGCCAGAAGGAUUGGUACCUCUGCAUUCGGAUCAAUGUUAGCGGGGUCCAGAUCAUUACAAUAUGUUGUAGGAGAUGUGCAGAAGAGGUGUUGUUUCCACUCACCCCACCAUAGCUUGAAUUGUUGGACAGCGAAGGGGGCCACAACCCAGUUGGCCAAUUCGAUGGUACUGGAAUCCGGCGUCAAGCUGCACAGCUGAUUGUAUUCAAGACCUUUAGAGAGCUCCUCCCGACACUUAACGCGGCCGGCAAAAUAAAUCUUAAUCGGCAUUUGUCUGAGGCCGAAUUGCCGCGCUGCCACUGAUGGGUUGUAGAAUUCAUAGGUUGGGGAGUCUUUUCCUGAGAAGAAGUUUGCUGGUAGGAUCCCAGGCUUGAUCAAAGUAUCCAUAAGCUCAUUAUCGAAGUAAUUGAUGGUUGAAUUGAAGCAGUCGGGGUUUUCAAAGAGUGGCUCAAUUCUCUGAUAUGGGUACCAGCUUGUAGUUUCUUCAUUGAAGCCGAUAUAGAAGCAUCUGAAAUACUCAGUUGUAUUUGUGGGGGUAAACUUGCUGCCAGGAGAAGCUGACGCUACCUCGCCAAGGAAGUGCAACGCCGUCUUAAUGUUGGGUUAUCCUCUGAUUCAAUAUUGGGGAAUGUCUUGGUCUCAACUCGUUCCCUGGAGAUCUUGCUCAUGUAUAAGUUGAGCCAGAUGGUGAUAAACCACCAGGGGCCACCAGAGUUCCCAAUCGGCUCUCCGGAUGACAGCUUGACUGCGAUUUGGUGCAUCAUAUGAUGAGCCAAUCCUAGCAGGUGUUUUCCUAAGGGGAUAGUAGAACCUUUUGCUAGGGCCUCGACCAGAGCCUGUGUAUUGGAGGAGGGGCCAACUGCUUUGCCACAGAAGAAGUGCUUCUCUAACCACAUCAUCAGGAAAGCUGUGUAUUCUCUAUCGCCGAUAGGACCGGUCUUCAUAUUUUUAUCAAUAUAGCAUUUCCACCUGCCGAUUCCCUUUGUUUCCAGGCGAUGGGUUGGUUUGAUCAGGAAAUUGAAGGGCAAGUCGGGGGAAGAGAUGUCAAGACCGGUCAGCAUCAGGACGUCGGCCAAAGUAGGGGUCAUGGGCCCAUGUCCAAAAAGGAAAACAUUGAGAGCGUCAGACCAGAAAUAAGAAGCUGCCAUGACCAAAGGUUCAUUCUUCUCCAUUUGAGACAGAUAUAAGUUUAUGCAUUGGCCGAUUUUUAGUUCAUCCCAAAGAACCCUCUAAGAAUUGGACAUCCUUUGAAACCACUCUUUCCAGCCAAGGGUUUCGUUCGGCCAAGAUCUAAAUGCACCUGUCCACUGGCUUAAAUCCAUUGGUGACUGCUUGAAAGGGAUCAUGUGGGUUUCCAGGUUGAUCAAUUCAGUGGGAUCUAGAUUCCCCAUGGGGCUAAGACCGACGAGGCCGGGUGCGUCAGAAACAGGGAUGGUGAUUUGCUGCCUAAGUUCCUAAAAAGGAUACAAAAGGAGAACUAAGAACAGAUCUAAAAGAUGCGUGAAUGGUGAAAAGUAAAAGUAAAAACUUUGGGAUAUUUACCUCUGGAAUGAAAGCCAUAGUCGCCUAUGGAGCCGCUAUUGGAGUAAACAGAAUAGGAUGGACGGAAGAUGAAGGAGGAAUCACCGUAGGAAUGCAGUUGGAAGAUGAAAGGGUGCCGAAAUGCGAUGGAAGAUGAUUCGCCGGGGAAAAAAGAGUUUCCCAGCUUGUGGAGAAGAAGCGGCGGAGAAUGCAAAUAUUUAAAGAUGGUUCGAGAGAAGGGUAAAGGUGGGAUUUUACCGCGCUGUCUGCACAAAUUUCGGGAAGAGCGGUUGCCUGCGAGCGCCUAGCUCGAAAAUUGUGAUCAUCAGAGAGAAGACCGCAGAACAGAAAGGAGCUUUCGCCGUGCCCGCCUCGGAGGAUGAGUUAGAGUUGAAAAAAAUUUGAAGCAAAAAGUUUCACUCUGAAACUUGGGGGCAUGUGUUGACGCCGGAUUUUGACACGUACUUGAAAUCGGCGUCAAAGAAGGAGAAAGGGGGGCCGAUGCGGCGGACUAGAAGCUACAGUUGGGAAUCGGCCGAUUGAAGCUACAGUGUUUCAGCCGAUUGGUGGAAGAAAUCGGUGGAGGCUGGCCGAUUGAGAGCCAAAGCAGUUUGGCCGGUUUGGGCCUAAGGUGGACCAGGAUGAAGAUUUGCUGAAGAGACAGGCCCGUGGGAAAAUAAUAACCAACUCGAAUAUGAGUCGUGUUUGUAACUAUUUGUUGUCGUUUGAAAUUAGAGAUAGAUUCUAGUCGGUUAUGAAAUCAGUUGCAACAGGCAAUAAUAGCUGCCUCGAGAGGCUUGUAAAAAAAUAACACACAAUCAAUAAAACAAAUUUACUCUUUCCUCGUACUUUACUUUCAAGUCGGCGACUUCGCCAAAACCUUUUUCUUUCACGAGUUCGUACGGAUUGGCAGGGCUGCAUCUACAUGAUCUCCGACCGAUUCUGUAAGUUCCGCUUAUCGAGUAAUAUCUAAGCUUUAACUUCGGGCGCAUCGCUGUUGUUUCAUUUAGAUUUAUUCACUAGUUAUCGAUAUCAACUACAGUCAUAGGUUUUACCUGUUAUUUUAGUUUUUAUCACCAAUUAUCCAGCUUGAGGUACGAGCUAUCGGCUUCUAUUAUUUUUAUCCUUUAUCAUCACAUAGCUGAUUAGAUCUACUCCAAGUGUUGCUUUUGUAGUGUUGUUUAGGUUGCUCUAGAAGUUUUCCUUACGAUUGCUACGUGAGUAUCGGCUGUCUUAUAGCCGGUCAUCUCUAUAGUAAAUCGGCCGAUUCGCUAAUACGCUCUUCAAGACAGAUCGGAACUCUAGCCGAUCGAAACCCCUAAAAUUUAAUAUUCUUCUUUCCUUUGUCAAUCAACAGGUCAGAUUGACUGGCACGCCGCGCGAACCGCACCAGGGCAAUAACCUGAACAGGAGCUAAGCAGAUUCUCCCGGGUCGUGUGUCCGACGCUGAGGGUCAUCGGCCAAUUUUCAGGGCCAACAACAGCUUUUGGGCAAAAGCAUAUAGGACUUUUAGGGGGUGUUUGGCAUGGCUCUAGAGCUGAACUCCGGUAACUCCAGCCAAUUUUCCAGCCAAACACCCUAGCUCCAAAACUCCAUGGAGCUGCAGUGCAAAUGGGAUGGAGUUUUGGCGCACCUCUUUUGUAGCUCCAAAACCACCUAAUAUGAACCUCCUCGUGGAGUUGGUGGGUAAUUAACCAUCAAUGCCACUGAUUAAAAUAAAAAUGAUUCACUUCUAUUUUCUCUCGAGACCCCUCCCCGCGCCGCCCGAGGCCUCCUGAUGCCGCUCUCCUGCGCCGCCGCCUAGCGCCGCCGACAGCUGCUGUCGCCGUCCGUGCCCCGCGUCCUGCGGGCUACCGCCUCGCCAUCCCCAUGAGCCCCCUGCACCGCCGUCAGAGCCGCCAGCCGAGCCGCUGCGGCCGGGUUUCCGCCGUCUUGCCGCCUCUUUCCUCAACUGGAGUGAGCCAUCAGCAGCAGCAGAUUCCCCUCGGCGAGCCACGCCCGUUUCGCCGGUUCCGUUGUCACCCUGCUGCCGGAGUGCCGCCGCCACCGUGAAAACCGCCCGCCCCCCGAUCUCCACCACCACGCUGACCACCUCCGUCCAUGCCCUCCGCCGGUGAGCACACCCGUAGAUUCCCCUCGACCCCCUCUUCCUCUUGCGCCACCUGCCCAAAACACCACCUCGCCGGAGCGCCAGCAAGCUAGCUGGCCAGAGCCCCGGUGAGAGGAGGAAGAAGGAACCUGGCUCUUUUGUGAUUGGGUCCUUGAGGAAAGCUAAAAUCUUUUGCUCUGUUCCUUGCUCCCGGCGAGAGGAGGAAGAAUAGUGGGCUUCUGUGGUGGAGGGCGAGAUCGAACCAGGAGUCAGAAUGUCAAUCUACCCUCAAACUCCUCUUUUCUGGAGUUGGGAACACCCUCCCAACCAAACACCUUCAUCAGACAGCAGGUUGAAAAGAGGCACAUGAGGCUCAGCCGCUUAGGCCCACGGGCAAAAAAAAAAAACUCUUACUUUAUGGCGGAGUAGUUGCUGUUCCAGUGUGCAGGUAAAUUGUCGCAAAUGCCCUCUUGUGGUCGCGUUGCAGUAGCCGAUAAGGCGUCCAAACGUGAGGUGCACACACCUGAUCUGAUCCUCUCAGUGGAAACGGGCCAGGUCCAUGCAACCCAGGACAGGAAGGCUCUAUACCUGGGCCGAACGGUAGCCCAAGAGGCCGACAGUAAGUGAGCUCACGGGUGACGAACGGCCCAGAAGCCGCCCCAAUCCGGCCACCGCCACUGAGCCGGCUCGACUAAACCGGAUCGCCACGCAGCCCGACCGCGCAGGCGUACUUCCCGAACUACCCCCGGAGAUUAUCCAAUCGGACGGCCAAGCGCCACGCACUGCCAAAGAAUUCCCCGAAAUGACCCUACUCUUCCCUUUGCCUCCCUCGCGUGCCGCCGGUUCUGCUCGACCGGACCAGCGGUUCAGGCGCCGAAUAUUCGCCCGCGGAUAUUUCUUGCCCGGUGCGUCAACUCCGCCGCUAUAAAUACCCUCAUAGGGCGGCCGCUAGGGUUUUAGUGCUUCUCUCCCGGCGGCGCCUCCACAUAUCGUCUCUCAGAUCGGGAGGCGAAACCAAGGUGACUGACCUCAUCCCCUUUCUCCUCCCUCCGUCUCUGGUUGCUAUAGCUAUUUCAUCCAUGCGCUGUCCUUAUAGCUGAUUAGUAUUUUUACUAGUGGAGUUCGAGUCGUUUUGGUUCCAUUCAGUAGUGCUUGUGUUGAUUGGAUUGAAUCGGAGGACUCGAAGUGGUUUGUGCUGCUCGAAUCGUAAGUUUGUUGGGCUAAUCUCGAUGGAAUUUAUGUCAAUUCGUUGGUUUAGUGGUCCUUGGCAGUUCUCUCUGUGAUAGGCCCGUCCGAUCUGUAGAGAUGCGGUGGAAUCCUGGUUUACUCAAAACGGUUCUAGAUUCCUCUGUUCUUCCCUUAUUUUUUGUUUCGAUUACUUAGUUUGCACGUUAGGGGCCUAUGAAGUUUAUGUGCUCGGAUCCUUUAGUGAAACUGAUCUGUUUACUCAGAUGUGCUCGGAUCCUUCAGUGAAACUGAUCUGUUUACUCAGAUCUGCUGGUAGCUAACAGGUUCAGGGUAGUUAUGUUGAUGGUCUAGUUUUGGUAGUUUCAUUGUCGAUUUCUGUCCAUUUUUGUCAUGUUCUGUCCAUAAAAAUACUAUCUGUGCUUCUUCAUAUCUUGUAAUAUGAAUUCAUUUGACAAACUAUGCAUUUCUUUUAGAGUGUUUGUCUAAAUUAAUCUUCUGGUAUAUCCCUAUGCCAGUCUGUUAAUAUGUCUGUAUUAUAGUGUUUUGUUUGAGGUGGUAAUGUACAUGGUGCACCCUGCAGUUUUUCAUGUCUAAUAUUGAAUCUCCUUGUUUGCUGUAUGUAUUAAGGAUUAGUUUCACUUCAAAUAGCUUACUGCUGAUGCUUUCUUGUUUGUUUAAUAUGCUGUGUAAUCAUGUUGACCCUGAGGUUUGUAAGAAUUCCUCUUAUUUGAUUAUUGCAUGGAUUAGUGUCCUGAAGGAUAUGGCUCCUUUGUACAAUUAAGAUAAUUCACUUUUUUUUCUCAACUUUUAUAUGCUUACUAGCCCAUUAGGUUGUGUAAACAUUAGAGUGCUUUAGCCUGGUAAAGAUGAGUUAAGCAUUUUAAAUAAAUUUUUGGAUUUGGUUGAUAUCAUCCUUAACACCUGCAUUUAAACAAUUUGUCUCUUUUGAUCCUGACUAUUACAGUGGGUGUUACUUUCUUUAGUCAUUCUGUGGUAUCAAAGUUUCUGGUGUAGUUGUGUAAUUAUGGUUUUGGUUGGAUUCUUACUAGUAUUUUCUACCUUUAAACAGCAGGAAAUUAUAUACAUAUUUGUAGUGUGAUCUUCAUAAGAAGUCAAGAUGGUGAAGUUCACAGCGGAAGAGCUCCGUGCCAUCAUGGACAAAAAGAACAACAUUCGUAAUAUGUCCGUUAUUGCUCAUGUGGACCACGGUAUGUUAAGAACAGUGUUUAAUUAAAUGUUAUGCAUACCUGUUCCUCGACAUUUUUCAGGCUUUUCAAUUUUAGCAAUUGUUUUUUUUCAGUAUUAAAUCUCUGAAUUGUUCUUGCCAGUGAAUGCGAUUCAUGCUGCGUUAGCUAUCACAGACCUAUUUUACAUAUGUAGAAAUAUUCAUUUCAUGUUGGAAAUAGGCUUAUUGUUCUUUUGUAAUUAAUGUAUUGGUUUAUCUCUAGAUAUUGCAGUGUAUAGUAUCUGUUUACUAUGUGUUUUAUAUUGGGAUGUAUUGUUGUCUUUGUUAACUUGUGAGAGGUUGUCUAUCCCUAAUGUUGUACUAUUCUUGAUGCAUCUUCGGACUGACUUUUAAGUUCCACACUAUAGUCUUACAUCUCAUUAAUUCUUUGCAGGCAAGUCUACCCUUACAGAUUCCCUUGUGGCAGCUGCUGGGAUUAUUGCCCAGGAAGUUGCUGGUGAUGUCCGCAUGACUGAUACACGUGCAGAUGAAGCAGAGCGUGGUAUUACAAUCAAAUCCACCGGUAUUUCUCUGUACUAUGAGAUGACUGAUGAGUCACUGAAGAGUUACAAGGGUGAGAGAGAUGGUAACCAGUACUUGAUCAACCUUAUCGACUCACCUGGGCACGUUGAUUUUUCUUCGGAAGUCACAGCUGCCCUUCGUAUCACCGAUGGUGCUCUAGUGGUGGUUGACUGUAUUGAAGGUGUCUGUGUGCAAACUGAAACUGUGCUCCGCCAGGCUCUUGGUGAGAGGAUUAGGCCAGUGCUUACUGUGAACAAGAUGGACAGGUGUUUCCUUGAGCUUCAGGUUGAGGGUGAGGAAGCCUACCAGACUUUCUCCCGUGUCAUUGAGAAUGCCAAUGUCAUUAUGGCAACAUAUGAAGAUAAGCUCCUUGGUGAUGUCCAAGUCUACCCGGAGAAGGGAACUGUUGCUUUCUCUGCUGGUCUGCACGGCUGGGCCUUUACCCUCACCAACUUUGCCAAGAUGUAUGCUUCGAAGUUUGGAGUUGAUGAAACUAAGAUGAUGGAGAGGCUCUGGGGUGAGAACUUCUUUGACCCAGCCACAAAGAAGUGGACCACCAAGAACACAGGCUCUGCUACCUGCAAGAGAGGAUUUGUUCAGUUCUGCUAUGAGCCAAUCAAGCAAAUCAUCAACACCUGCAUGAAUGACCAGAAGGAUAAGUUGUGGCCCAUGCUUCAAAAGCUUAAUGUUACCAUGAAGUCUGAUGAGAAGGAAUUGGUUGGCAAGGCUUUGAUGAAGCGUGUUAUGCAAACUUGGCUUCCAGCUAGUACUGCACUGCUUGAGAUGAUGAUAUUCCACCUUCCUUCCCCAUCAAAGGCACAAAAGUAUCGUGUGGAGAACUUGUACGAGGGACCCCUUGAUGAUAUCUAUGCUACUGCUAUCAGGAACUGUGAUCCGGAGGGUCCUCUUAUGCUGUAUGUUUCUAAGAUGAUUCCAGCAUCUGACAAGGGCAGGUUCUUCGCCUUUGGUCGUGUCUUCUCUGGGAAGGUUGCUACUGGUAUGAAGGUUAGGAUCAUGGGUCCCAACUAUGUCCCUGGCCAGAAGAAGGAUCUGUACGUCAAGAGUGUCCAGCGUACUGUUAUCUGGAUGGGAAAGAAACAAGAGUCUGUUGAGGAUGUUCCUUGUGGUAACACUGUUGCUAUGGUUGGUCUGGAUCAGUUCAUCACGAAGAAUGCUACACUCACCAAUGAGAAGGAGGUUGAUGCAUGCCCAAUCAGAGCAAUGAAGUUCUCUGUCUCCCCUGUUGUGCGCGUUGCUGUUCAGUGCAAGGUUGCCUCUGACCUACCCAAGCUCGUUGAAGGUUUGAAGCGUCUGGCAAAGUCUGAUCCUAUGGUCCUCUGUACAAUUGAAGAAUCUGGUGAGCAUAUUAUUGCUGGAGCUGGUGAGCUUCACCUUGAGAUUUGCCUGAAGGAUCUGCAGGAAGACUUCAUGGGUGGUGCUGAAAUUAUUGUUUCUCCUCCUGUUGUCUCUUUCCGUGAAACUGUUCUUGAGAAAUCCUGCCGAACAGUCAUGAGCAAGUCCCCCAACAAGCACAACCGUCUUUACAUGGAAGCCCGUCCCUUGGAAGAGGGUCUCCCUGAGGCUAUUGAUGAGGGCCGCAUUGGUCCACGUGAUGAUCCCAAGGUUCGCUCCAAGAUCCUCUCUGAGGAGUUUGGUUGGGACAAGGAUCUUGCCAAGAAGAUUUGGUGCUUUGGACCUGAGACCACUGGCCCGAACAUGGUUGUUGAUAUGUGUAAGGGAGUGCAGUACCUCAAUGAAAUCAAGGAUUCUGUUGUGGCUGGCUUCCAGUGGGCCUCAAAGGAGGGUGCACUGGCUGAGGAGAACAUGCGUGGCAUCUGCUUUGAGGUCUGUGAUGUUGUUCUUCAUGCUGAUGCAAUUCACAGGGGUGGUGGCCAGGUCAUUCCAACUGCCAGGAGGGUUAUUUAUGCUUCUCAGCUCACUGCCAAGCCAAGGCUGCUCGAGCCAGUUUACCUUGUGGAGAUCCAGGCCCCAGAAAAUGCACUUGGUGGUAUCUAUGGUGUUCUGAACCAGAAGAGAGGGCACGUGUUUGAGGAGAUGCAGAGGCCUGGUACCCCGCUCUACAACAUCAAGGCUUACCUCCCUGUCAUCGAGUCCUUUGGGUUCUCCAGCCAACUGAGGGCUGCAACCUCUGGCCAGGCGUUCCCUCAGUGUGUGUUUGACCACUGGGACAUGAUGGGCUCUGAUCCUCUGGAGGCUGGCUCCCAGGCUGCUCAGCUGGUGUUGGAUAUCCGCAAGAGGAAGGGUCUCAAGGAGCAGAUGACCCCUCUUUCUGAGUUCGAGGACAAGCUCUAAAUUUUGGUGGUUUGUGCUGCUGGU
rnacentral:lncRNA from 1 species